AUUGUACACCAACUGGGCAAGGGUGGUCUUACCCAACCCCCCAAUCCCAACAAUGGCAACCAUGGAAAGAAUUUCUUGAUUAUCAGAUGACACCAACGACUUUAUUAUCUCCUCCUUGUUUUCUUCUCUUCCCACAAUUUCAGAGGUCAACACAAAUGAGUGAGUCUCUCUCCAACUACUCUCUACCUCCCUCUGAACUAUGUUCCCUUGAACAAGUUUUAAUAGAUUGAUUUCUUUUACAAUUUCAUCAACCUCUUCUUUGAUAUUCUUGACCUUACUACUCAUCUUAAAACGAAAUACGAGCUGAUUCGAAGAUGAGAAGAAGUCACUGACCUGCCUUGCUACUCCCCCACGCUGCAGCUGAUGGGUUGCAAAGUCAUCCAACAAGUCAUCAGCAUCAUACACAACAUCUUUGAGCCUCCUCACCCAUGCUUUUACUGCAUCGCUCUCCUCCUGCCUCUUCUCAGCAUCAACCAGUACACCUUUGAUGGUGGUCAGUUUCUUCGUAAGCUUCGUCAACUCCUUUGCCACACCAAACGCAGAUCCAAUUUGUUGAAUAGACGAGGAGCCUAACUUGGUUAAAACGUCAGCUAUAAUAUUGAAUAGGAUUUGUUCAGCCAUUUUUUGAAGAACUCAAACUGCAGAACGCUAACAAAGUAUGGUAAGAGAAGGAGAAGUUGAGGGAAUUGUGAGAGAAUACCAGACAGACUAGUGAGAGGAUAAUAGAAGUCACAUGCAGUGGGCCUAAUAUGAUAUACUUCGAUUAGUCAAAAAGCAGUGUGAACUCAUCAUAUGGUUGAUAUUGACAUAGGACACUGCCAAUCAACUUUUCUCUGGACAAAUCUUUGGAUGAUUUAAUAAUUUGUAUUAGAUGAAAAGAUUAUUGUUAACAUUUUCCAAUUUUUAAAAUCUAAAUUUUUUUAGAAUGAAUCAAACUAUUAAUUCUUUCUUUGAUACUUAAAGUUGGAGGGGUUUAAAUUCUAUACUUUCUCCUUAUUAAUUAAAUAUAUCUAUAUGAAGACGACAAAAACGGGAGUAGAGAUUAGGCUAUUUUUUGUGGGCCUAACUUAUGUACAUGGGAUGUAAACAUAUUUAUGAGUAAUUUUUAGAUUAUGUUCCGUUUUCAAAAUUAUAAAAAAAAAGAAAAAAGAAUGCCAAGAAAAAUGAUUUUUUUUUAAUUGUAUUAUAAAAAUAUAAAACAAAAUAAAACAUAAUUAAAGUUAAUUAUAAAUUCAUGUAUUUUUUAAUUAUUUAAUAUUUAUAUAAAAAAAUUAAAAUAAAUGAAAUGAAUCUGAAAUAACGUAUAAAAAUAAUUUAUUAAUUUUUUUUUAUUUUUCAUAUUUUAUUUCUUCUUAUCUUUUUUUCUUUAUUUUUCUUCCUUUACAUUUUUUUCUCAAAUCUAAAUAUAACCUAAAUAUUAGAUGAUAUUAUUUAGAUAACAUUAAUAAUGGGUUUCUUUGUAAUUUUAUGAAUAUUAAAUUUAACCUUCUAAAAAAUGAUUUUCAUGUACUAUCAUUAUAAAUAUUUAUAUAUUCACGAGGCACAUCCUCUUCAAAUUUACGAUUUUCUAGUCAUGCAUUUUGACAUUCCUUUAUAUUAAUUAGUUACAUUUUUUCUGUGAAGGAUGAAUUAAGAUAAGAUAAUUAUAGUUUACUUUAUCUCUAUAAUUUCUCUUCGGAGGUUAUUUGAAUAAUAGGGAGAAUAUUAGAAGAAGUGGUAGGUGGUGGUGACAUUAAAAGUGGGUAGACUAGAAAGAGCAAUAAGUGGGGCCGAGUUUGACCUUUCAACAAAAGUUGUUGAAAGACAAUCAUAAGAUGUCAUGUUGUGGUUCUUCAUAUAAUCAAACCGACACAGCAAAGUGAUCUACGGCAGCUGGUAUCAAAGUAAUGUGAAGGUAGAAAAAGGCUAAAUAUUUGCCAUGUACUAUCACGAUUUUGACAAAAGUAUCAUUUAUUUGAAAUAAUAUUUAGUAAAUAUCAUAAUUUUAAAACUAUUCCCAAACUUUGAGAGUAUGUGUGGUUCUAAAGGAAACUAGUGUUCUCAUGAUUUUAUUAUAGAAAAUAUAAAAAAAUAAAAUAUAAUUAAAAUUAAUUAAAAUUUUAUAUAUUUUAAAAUCAUUUAAUUUUUAUAUAAUAAAAGGGAAAUAAGUGAAAUGUGUUUGAAUAAAUAUUUAAAAAUAAUUUAUUAAAUUUAAAUUUAUUUUUUAUUUUUUUUCAUUAUUUAUUUUCUUUUACUUUUUUUAUUUAUUUUUUUCUUGUAUUUUUCCUCAAAACUUCAGUGAACCAAAUAUAGUCAUAAUAUUUUUUAAGGUAUUAAUUUAAAUUAUUCAUUUUAAAAGACAAUUACAAAAUUAAAUUCAACUUUUGAUUGGAUUUCUCUCACCUAGAUAGAUUUGAAAAUAUUUUAUCAAUUUUUAUAUUAAUUUUUUAAAUUAUUGUAUUUUUUAAAAUCCCAUAUAUGAACACUCACUCCAAAAAGAAAUAAAUGUAAAACUUGGCAUGAAAGACUAUAAUCUUUGAUAAUAAAUGAGGUUAAUUCCCAAGAGAAGGGUUUCUUUGGAUUUUGAGUCGGGUUGGGAAAAAGGUAAUUCAAAAUUUUCAUGGCCAAACCAAAUCAAUUUGAUUUUCUUUUUUCAUUUUUCUUUUUUAAUAAAAUCUUAAAUUAUAUAAAAUUAAGUUAAAAGAUUAAAAAUUUCAGUUGAAUUUAUUGAUUGAAAAGUUAAAUAAAAAGAUAUUAAAUUGUAGUCAAAGCUUAGUAUCAAUUCUAAUACUAAGAAUAAUUAUAAAAAUAACAAACAGAUUUUUAAAGCAUAAACCAAAUAUAGCAAAUUUAGUGUUAUUAAUUUUUCAAAUAUUGUUUGUGUACCAUAAGAUUAAAUAUAUCAAAUUUAAUUUUAUAAAUUGAUUAAUCUUCUAUAUUUUAUUUGAUGUAUGUUAACGCUUACGUUAAAAAUCAAUAUAUAAUUUUUUGAUCCACACACCUUAAUCCUAUCAAAAUACAUAAUAAAUAAAAUGAUACUAGUCUAAGAAAAUAAAAUUAUGAUACACCAUGUUAUUAUUCUUGUUUUACGUCAAAUAAAAUUUUUCAAAUUAUAUUUGUUAUAAUUUUGCUAUGCUAAUUGAUUUAACAGUAAAAGUAUAGUAUCAUAAUAAUUUAUUUAGUUUUUUAUUUGUUUCUCUCUUUUUGAAGCAUCAAUCUUAAAAUUUCUUGGUUUAUUUGUGACUUGGUUCAAUAUGAUAAAUAUAUAUAUGGUUAGUGACACAUGUUUGUACUCUUCUAAAUUAAAUUCAAUGUUAUGUUGUUAGUUGAAAAGCAAUGUAAGUUUAAAGUGAUGUGAAUGAAUAAUAUAUUUCCAUUUUAUUUAGUUAUGUAUGGAUUCAAUCUUUUCUUUAUUUUACAAAGAAAAUGAGAAUUUAAUUAUUGAAGAAUUGAAUCACUGAUUUUAUUAAAGCCUUUAAUUAAAUCAUAGUAAUCAAAUGAUAAAUUCAUAUAAGCUGCAAUAUUAUUAUAUUGUAUUGUUUUUUUGUGUUUAAACUUAUUUUUGGAGUCUUUGUUUUUAAUUUGGAUAGAAAGUUUAACCUCUAGUUUAAAUUUUAAAAUCCUAGGAGGAGAUUUAAAAAGAAGUAGACAUGCAUAUUUAUAUUUUGUUAGAAAUGACACAAAUUUUUGUUGGAUUAAAAAAUCAUAUAAAAGUAUAUUAACAUUUAGUCAAAAUCUUUAAAAAUCUUUUUAAAAUUAAAUAUAAGAUCAAAUAUCAUAAAAAAUCAUGAAAUUAAUGUUUUUUUUCCUGUGUGCAUAUUUGAAAAUAUAUACAAAAUGAAAACUUAUUUUUUCAUAUUUUAAUUCAUAUCAUGAAAUUCUAAAAUAUUUAUUAUAUUAUGAACUUUUAUUCCCAUGGAUAAUAUCUUUGAUACGAGAGCAUAUAAAAUUUUAAUUAUUUAUUGAAAAAUUAUUUAUUUAUUUAUUUAUUUGAAAAGUGUAUGCCAAACACAUUUUUUCCAAUUGAUUAUAUCAAAAUGUUCAAAUGAUACAUUUCUUUGGAUGCUAUCUCUCAUCAUAUUUACACAUUUUGAUUAUGAUAAAGAUCAGCAUUACCCAUAAAUUUGUAUCAAAAAGGGUUUGAAUACGCUAUGUUUCUAAUGAAGAGGUGGAAAUAAGCCACCAAAUAUUCAACUCCAGUAGAUGAUCGGGCGAUUGACUUCUGCUUCUUAGAGGACUAGCUAGGAAAUGGAGUUGCUCGUGAGGAAAACAACAUGGGUACUAGUUGAAGAUCUAUCAUCAAAGUUACCUGCCCAAUCAACAUUGAAAAAGGCAUGCAGACGAAGUGGAGAAUUCUUAAGAGACCAUGAUGAAAGUGUACGAACCAAAUAACGAAGUGGAUGCUUGACUGUGGACCAAUGCAUGAUGGUGGUGGGAUAUGUACGUUGUGAUAGCGAAGGCUUUCAUGCAAAUAAGAUUAAUUCAAGAACACAAAGAUAAAAAAUAAAAAAAUAAAAAAUUCAAUACAAAUGGUACACAAAGUUUUAAUGUGGUUUAACCAAUCAUGCCUACCUUCACGAAUAAGAGAAUCAUUCUACUAUACAAUAGAGAAUAUUAUAAAGAAGAGAACUAGAUACAACUAUUGGGUUCUCUUCGGGUAUUUUCCGUUCUUUCUCACAUCUCUAUCCACUUCGUAUAUACUCUACAUGUUUAUCUUCAUCUUAUAAUUUUUUCCCUUUAUGACUUAAAACAUUUAUAAAGAUAUUUCUAACAACUUUCCUUAUUCUAUUGGGAAAUCUAUUAUAACAAUAAUAUAUUUAACUUAGAAAAUAUUCUUUACAAAAAGGAAUCUUUGCUAAUUAGGGAUUUAAGACAAUUCCAAACAGGAUGUAUAAAUUAGGACAAUCCCACCUCUGGCAGAGAUAUUUUGAGACUUCCAUGAAGAGGAUAUUGGCACAACUCAACACCUUGGCGUGAAUUGUGGGACUCAAAGGAGUGAUAAGGUUGAAAACUCCCACAAUUCAUGCUACAACAGUGGAGAGACGUUGAAAGAUGAAGGAGUCUCAAUGGCAACAACUUCAACUCGAAAUGGUAGUUUGACUAGUUAAAGAAAUGUCAACAAAUUGACUGAGUAAAUCCUGGAUUCAAAAUAGAGCUUAUCUUGAAGAAUUCUGUUAUUUUUAUUUUUUGUUAUCCCAGUUUUCUUUUGUGUUUAAAUAGAGGACGUGGUCUUCUAUAUGUUGUAUUCUGGAAAAAAAACAAAGGUGUUACAUCUCCAGCCAUGUCACGUAUAAACUCAUUCUUUUCCUCUUCAUCUGUUUUUUCAAAUUCUCUUUUUGGUAUCAAAGCCACUGUGACAACGGCACAACCUAGCACCUUGCCCUCAAAUAACCAUGACUUUCCUCUCACUCAAUGUUGGAAAUUUUAUUACUCUCAAACUCAGCCCCACAAAUUAUCCAUUGUGGUGUGAACAAGCCUUGGCCCUUGCAGAAAGCUAAGAAUUGCUCGGUCUCCUUACUAAUGAAGAUCUUGGUCCACCUCAAUACACCAUACCAGAUUCCAGUAAUACCCCAACUGCAGAAAUGUAUGCACCAAGAAUAACCGAAGCAUACAUUGCAUGGCAUAAAGCGGAUCGUCUUCUUUGAGGGUGGAUAAUUGGAACACUCUCUAAAGAAACACUUGGCCUCGCCGUGGGCUUAGAUACAACAAAUGUCGUAUGGGAAGCAUUGAAAAAUGCAUGCGCUGAAGAUUCACAAGAACGAGAAUUCACACUCAGGCAACAAGUAACAUAUCUUCGGAAAGAAGAUGACAACACAAUUGGAGAACAUAUUCGAACCUUCAAAAGCCUAUGCGAUAGUCUUGCGGCAAUUGGGAAACCAGUCCCAGACAAGGAAAAGGUAUUUUGUCUUCUCACGAGUCUUGGUCCUUAAUAUGAAACUUUAACUACUACCAUUCUCAAACCACUAAGACCAUCAUACUCUGAGCUUGUCUCACAACUUCAAAGCCUUGAUCAAAGACGAAAUUGGUUCUCAAACCAUGCAAAUGCCACCCAUGCACUCACCCCUCAAAUGGCCUUCUAUGGACAACAACAACAAAGAUUUCCACAAUCCUCCAUAGGAUAUCAAGGCAACAAACAAACAUUCACUUCAACAUGAAGAGGAUUCCAAGCACAACAAUCAAAGAACCAAAACCGUGGCUACUCCCUUAGCCCAACAUCCAGUUCUCAACAAAGAUGACCCCCCACCCCCCACCCCCCACCUGGAGAGCGACGUAUGACACCUACUAAAAAAGACCUUUAUCGUGAAGAAAAAUGUCAAUACUGUGGCAUGGUAGGACAUAUUGCAAAAAUAUGUUGGUGGGUGCCCAAAAGGCCUACACAACAAGAUGACAUACCACAAGCACUGGCAGCACUUACCUUGGAUAAUAUAAUUGCUUAAACGGAAUGGACCUCAGACACAGGAGCCUCAAAUCACAUGACCGUAAGCAAGGUAUGUUAACUAAUAUUUGAAAUUAUUCUGGUUCAGAUUCAGUUCUUAUUGGUGAUGGAUCUUCUCUACCAAUUCUUGGUAUUAGAGAUUCUAGCAUUAAGCAGAAGAAUAAAGUCUUAUCGCUUCAUGAUGUUUUGCUAGUCUCUCAUUUAAAAAAAAAUCUUCUCUCCGUAAGUCAACUAACAACUCAGUUUCUUGUUAAUUGUGAAUUCACUAAUGUUGAUUUUUGUGUAAAGGAACGACAAACAGGACAACCAAUGAUCACAUAGAGACGCAACGGUGAUCUCUAUGUGCUUCCCAACUCGUCGGAGCUCUAUUUUUCUCAUCGUUUCAAAUCCGGUUCCGCAGACAUUUGGCAUCAACGUUUAGGACAUCCCCAGUUUCUGCUUUACAAUUUUUAAAAAAUAAAGGGUUGAUUGAUGUUAUUGGCAAUGUCAAAUCCGAACAUAUUUGUGACAGUUGCCAAUUAGGGAAGCUUAAUAGAUUACCUUUUUCUUGUUCUAAAAAUCUAAGUUCUAGCAUUUUUGAAAAAAAUCCAUUGUGAUUUGUGGGGACCUGCUCUUAUUUUAUCUAUUGGAAAAUUCAGAUAUUAUGCAUGUUUAGUUGGUGACUUUUCCAAGUAUACUUGGAUAAUUCCCUUACAACAUAAAUCUGAUUUUGUAAAUGCUUACUUAGCUUUUGAACAAUAUGUCAACAGACAAUUUAACAAAAAGAUCAAGGUCUUGCACUCGGAUGGAGGGGGAGAAUUCAUAAACUUCAAGUUAUCAUCUCACUUCCUCUCUAUCGGAAUUAUACAUUAGGUAUCAUGUCCAUAUACUCCAGAGCAAACAAGUAUGGUUGAAAGGCGACAUACGAUAAUAUGAGAACUUGGAAUGACCAUGUUAUUUCAUAGUGAAGCUCCUCUAUUUCUAUGGGUAGAAGCUUUUUCUUCAAUUGAUUGGCACCACUCACAAGUUUUUGAUAAAGGAGUAUUUUGAGCAUCAAAGUACAACUUACCUCUCAAGUUCCCAUAUGACACCAUAAAGUUUGAAAUAUUUUAGCUGAAAUUGGGGUCGAGAGAUAAUCAGAUGUCAAAAUCCCUUUGUCAUAACCUGAAGUUUCUAAUGGUGGCAGAAGCUCAAAUUUGAGAAGUAUAAGAAACCUUGAGAUUUGGUCUAAUUGAUACUGGGGGGUUUGAUAUUAAUGAAGAAAGCAACUAAAUAAGGAAAGCAAAGAAUCAUGAACUGGUUCAUUUAGAUGCUGCUGCUGUGCAGCUGGCAUCAAGAAGGGCAUGACAAUUGGCAAGCAUUUGGGCUUGAGGUGGCCAGUUACCUUUAGUUAUCUGAGCGUCUGCAAAAUCUUGUAUCCAUGCGGACAACAACGACAACCUUUCCUCCUGCACAAUCUUCAGACCAGCAAUGUUCUUCAAUAUGCUGAUCAAGAUAUCAAGCCAACCUAACGCAAGAUCAACAAAUCUGAUGGUCUGUCCUCCUGCCACAAAUUCUGCACUUAUUGUUCCUAGACUAUCCAGCACAGGCAGCAGCAUGCAUGUGUUAAAAAUGUGGGGAAGGCCAAAUCUGACCAUAUGGCCCACCUUCUUUCUCUCAGGAGAUGCAUGGCCACCUUUGGUGAGCCAUUCUUAAAACAAGUGGAUGUUUCAUUUCUUAAGUUCUCCAUCUUUGCUUUCAAAAAUUGAUUUUCAAAAAUUUGAUUUUCAAGUAGUUUUCUUUUACUCCUUAAUCUUUUCAUUAUUUUAUUUUAUUUUAUUAUUUCAUUUUGUCAUUUUAUUUUAUUAUUUUUUAUUAUUAUUUAUUUUAUUAUUUUUUUCUUAGUAAUCUUAAAGUCAAUAAAAUCCCUUUUAAAUAAAAUUUGCUUCCACUUUCUAUUCGGCAAGCAAUUUUCUAAUCUUUCUUGGUCUUUUAAAAUAUUUUGAAAAUAAGCGUGAAUUUAAUCCCGUGAUUCCGAGUAAUGGAUUUAUUGGAAUUAAUUCAUACAAAAUAAAAUGGGCUUUGAUGGGGGCCCAACAUUAUUGGAUGUUUCCUUUGAAAAUCAAUUUGAUUGAAUUGUGAUAUAUGACGACUUCGUACUCGAUUUAGUGGCAUGUGAGCUAUGUUUUAUGUCCAUUAUUUGUGCACUAACCUCAUUUCUUGAUAGCUCAUUUUGGCUCGUUGCCCAGAUACGUAUCUACUCGAAUCCUAGUCAUUCUCUGUGCAUGUUUUGACUCUCAUACGUGCAUGAUCGUUCUGGGUAUUCAUUGAUUUACUUAUCAAUUGUCAUGAUUGAUUCAUUUUAUUAGUAGAGACCCGACUUUAGGGACUUAGAGGGGUGCUACAGUCUUUACUGUACCUUUCCGAUAAGUAACCUGACUCCCGAGCCCGAUCUAGUUUUUCAUUGACCACCUUUUUCAAAAUAAGGAGUCACACUUAGGGUUUUCUUUUUUAAUUUGUUUACCCUUUUAAAAUAAAACAAAAAUAAGUGGCGACUCCAAUUCUUUUUCUAACAAAUAAAUCAUUUUCUCAAAAUAAAAAUCGAGCUCGCCAUCGAGUGGAAGCGCAUGAGCCGAAAUGCGGGGUCCACAAUAAUGUUAUGAUUUUGUGAAAACAUUAAAAAUGGCAAUAUGCUAGUAUUCUAUAUCAUAUAUACCCUUUCUAAGGACCAUUUAUUUAGAUAAUUUAACUAUAACUUUUAGUUUAUAAACUCUUAUAAUAAUAAAUUUUGAAUAUUAUGAGGAUGGAAACUUAAGUCAACAAAUAUAGAAGUAUAUUUUAGCUUUGCAAACACAAGAGUGUAGAAUAGUUGAAUUCACAUGGAGUGGUACAAAUAUGUUAAAGAUCAAAUAAGUGGACGGGGUUUGGAUACUCUCCACCUUUUUUUUCAAGGAAAAGAAAGAUGUUUGGGUUCAAUUAUGGAUUUAGGGUUUUUUUUUUUUUAACAUUUUAAUUAUGUAGUAUUUGAGUGUUUAGCUAGGUUGGCAAUUCCGAACAAAAUUCCUAAGUGUCGUCUAACUCGGUUUUUACAAUCCUUCUUUGGACUAUUUACUUAAUGAAGAUAAAGUUGUUGAAUUUGUUAAGAGACAAAGUUAUGUAGUUGAGAUUGGAGUUGAAGUUGGAUGAAAUUUGAAUCAACCACAUUUUCAAAAUGUUGAUUGUCUUGGAACAUUUUAAAAGAGUUAGGGAAGCAUGAGAAAAAUAUUUUUGCUAAAAGAUUUUUGUUCCCCUGUUUCUAGAUCGAUCCAAGUGUAAGGGUAGAUCGAUCCAAAUAACCUCUUUUUGAGAUUAGUUUUCAGCCAUUAGAUUAAGGGUUUCUUUUCCCUUUUAAAUACAAAUUUAUCCCCUUUUUGGAAACUAAGAAAUUGUAGCAGUCAUUCUUGUGCUCCUUAUUCCCUUCUCUCUUUGAGGUUGCUUGUUUUCCAAUAAAAUUUCAUUCAAGUUUUCAGCCAAAUUUUCAAUGGAUUUUCUUAAGAAAGAAUGGGAUGAUUUUUCAUUCAUUAAUCUCUCAAUUUUGAAUCUAUUUAGGUUUGUGUAAAAACAAAUUUUCUUCUUGUGUGGAUUCAAGAAGAGCCCAAGAUUGAGCUUGAUGUGGACUCCAAGUGUGCUUUGGAAGAAGAAGGUGAGAAGUUGAAAGUGAAAGGUACUAGUCAAGUGGUCUAGAAAGGAUUGGUAGAUUUGAACUAAGUAAAAUCCUGUAUUCGGUUUUUGUUCUUCAUAGUGGACGUUUUUUAUCAGUUGUUGGUCCGUGGUUUUUUAUCUCUUCGAAGGUUUUCCAUGUUAAAAUUUGGUCUCAUUGUCUCUCAUUCUCCUCUUCAUUUCAAUUUCAGUUUUAGCUAUCUUUGAUAAUCUGGACAUCUAAUUUUUGGUUGAAUGUUGAGGUAAAAUAGAUAUGUGUUAACUUUAAUGUUGUCUUUGAAUAUUGUUCAUAGGUAUAUUUGAGAUAUUUUGCUCUUGUUAUUAAUAAAAAAAUUGUUCUAAGUUUUUGUGUUGGGGAGUGUUGGAACAUGUGCAUAUGAAUUGCAUUUUAUUCUUGUUAGGAGUGUUGUUGCAUUCAUAUUUGCAUGUGAUUUCUGAUUUGUGUUUUUAAGUGUUUGUAAAGAGAAGGAAAAAUUGUAAAAAUUGUUAAGGUUAGUUAACUUAUGUUGGGAGACCUUAAAUUGGACAAAACACCUAUUCACACCCCUCCCCUCCUGUAGGUGUAUUCUAUAAUUGAGACUCACCUUUCAUAGUAAAAUUAUUACAUUUUAAUUAUUAUUUGAGUAAAAAAAAAAAUAGCUUCUAAAUUCCUUACAAGACUCUUAAAAAUAUUUUUAAAAUUGGCUACAAGUUUGAAUACUCUAAAUAAUUAUAGAAAUAACAAAAACAUUGAUGGAUAAAAAUUUUAUGAAGUCAAAUUUUAUGAGAAAAAUGAUUACUUUUCAAGUUAAAAAUAAAUAAAUAAAAAUUAAUAAUAAAAUAAAAGAUUAUCAUAUGAUACUAAAAAUUUGUUUUUGGCUGUCAUUCAUAUUAUAACAUAUUACAAAUCAACAAAAUAAUCUUAUUUCUUUGUAUAUUAUUACACAUAUCAACCAAUAAAGAAUAAAAUAAUCUAAUUUCUUUUCUCUCUUGUUAUACAUAUCAAUUACUUAUAUUUGAAUUUUGUUAUGCCACUCAUGCAUUUGGAACCUUAGAAUUUUCUUAAAAUAAAACAAAAAUAAAAAAUAUGAACAAAAGAGAUAUUUGUAUUUAAUCUUGUAACGUUGCCCUACUGAUGACAUGUAACGAUCAAUUGACGCAUAACGGUCAUUUACUUGUGGCGGCUUACUGCCCGACCAAGUUUUGGUCAAGUGGGACCACUUGGACCGACUUUAUUUGGGUUGCCUACCUAACUAUCUGACUAUUUGGGUACCCCCAUAUCCUAUAAUUGAAAUUUCAUGAAAUAAUUUAUUAGAAGAACAUAUUAACAAAUCCCAUUAAAGCUUCAUGAAAUAUAUUUCCAACGUAACUACAUGAAUCACAUUUAUAGAUCACAGAAAACAUUUGUCACACGAGAAGUUCUUUAGAAUGGUGAUUAAUUUUUGCUUCUGAAACAGUCUAGGAACUAGAGAUGGAGGUGUCAUUACACUGUUAUAAAUAGCAAGCUUUGAUGUCCUCCUUGAACUUUUCACAUUGUUGUGCCCUAUUCAAGUCUCUCUCUUGGUGCUACACUUGCCAUGGUAUUGCGUCCAUGGCUCACCAAGUCAUCUCCUUGCCCAAGGCAUUGAGCCCUUGUGCCACCUUGCUAUAAUCCUAGAUCACUCAUGAGGCCUUAGUGCCGAAUGGUCCUUGUCAAGGGCUAACCAUAGUUAAAUCCAUGUGAACUUACAAGAAAUGCCUGUGGCAUAUAUGUGAAUAGAACAUAUCAAAAAUCUAUCUUUGUUGAAGUACUUUUUAUGAUAGUUUCCAUUGCUACUUUAUCAUAUCAAUAUAAUUUUUUUUAGACAAUUAUAUUUAAAGUCUGUUUGACAUUGAUUAUAGGAAGUGUUUUUAACCUAAAAGUUUUCUUUCAAAAAAAUUAAAAGUGUGUUUAAAAGUGAUUUUAAAAAGUGUUUCUAGCAUUUCUAAUACUUAAAUAAUAAAAAAUUUCAAGUAUUAAAACUGUUUCCUAGAAUUACUACCAAAUGAACUUUAAGUAUUAGCAAUUCAGGAAACACUUCCAAAAAUUUAAAAAAUUACUUAGUAGUAUUUUCUAAAGAAACACUUCAUAAGUGAUUUUCAUUAAAAAAAGAAAAUAUUUCACUAAAAAUACUUUAAGUAAAAAUACUACUAAACACACUCUUACACUCUUAUUAUGUUUUAUUAAAACAAUAUGGCAGUGCCCAGAUAUGAAGAAGAUGAAGCUAAUUAGCAAUAGAUGCUCAAAAUGAAUUUUAAACAUUUUACAAUUCAUCGAAAUUUCAGAAAUACAUGGACUUACAAAAAGGCUCUUCAUGAGAAGAUAUUCCACGUUCUCUACGGAAAGUUUGGUGCCCUCUGCAAUGAUAUUCAAUGGAAUGGUACCAUCUUCUGAAGGACGGCUGCAAGAUACAAUAUAUCAGUUGAAUUCAGCAAUAACUUUCUGAAUCUUGCCCUGCAAUCACAAGUAAAACGAUAUUGUUAACAUACCUGAAGAUGACAUCCAUCAAGCAGAGAAUGAUUUCUAGUAGCUUCUUCUAAUUCUGAACCAAUGUCGGUUGAGAACUCGGCAGCAUUAUGGACGCGGCAUAAUUCUUGAUAGCAGAGUAAAUCAUCAUAGUUGGAUGCCUGGAGUAUCUAGUAGAGCCGCUCAACCUUUUUCCCCAGGAAACUUUCUAUCUGUAGGAGUUGGUAAAACAUCUGGCUCCAAUGAAGACAUUGUGCAGUUCUCUUUCGGUAAAUCAUCAGGCGCAAUAGCUCGCUGGGCCUAGGGAUGAUUGCUGCAGAAUUCUUAACGGAUUAGAAUUGAAGCAUCCAGUCAACACCAAAGGAUUAAAUAUGAUAAAGCUCAAAAUUCCACCAUUACUCGAAGCCUGUAAAAUACACUUGACCCAACAACUGCAGGAAAUACUGUGAGGGUUGUUUCCGGAAUAAGGUUGAGCUGAAGGUGUUUUACGACUCUGUUGGACCAUCAUCCCCAGGGAGGCCAAAUAUGUGGAGGUUCCGUUCCAUCGAUCCCACAGCCAAGUAUUUUGCACCUAUCUGGACCAAAUUUUACUCGAGUUGUUUUGCCUGCAUGCAGGACCAGAAGAAGUGGGGAAACCAAAUUUUCUUAUGAUUUAGUACUAUAUGUGCUCCUCGCCAAAGUGUUAGUAUUCUACCGUAUAUGAGAACAAACAAAAAAAGCUCAGAAUUGCGGGGAAAAAAAUUAUAUAAAGGGCAACAAUAAAUCAAUAGCAACAAUAAAUCAAUAAUCCAAAAACUAAAAGCAUAGAGAGGGAGGAAUUAUAGACCUCAAUAAUGAAGAGAUUAUAGACAACAAACAAAAAUGAAAGAAAGCAUAUAGGUUCACGAGAACGAUGAAAUUAAUAUGUAUAUAUAUAUAUAUAUAUAUAUAUAUAUUCAAUUGAGCUCCCUUUCCAUAUGCGUCAACUAUCGAUAAGCCAUACACAUUGAUCUCUCAAAUAUUGAACCAAUUUGAGUAAGUUCUCAACAUUAUCUAAAUUUUGGACAGAAAACACAAAGCAAGUUAUGAUUUAUUGGCAAAUGAUUGGUCGUUAAUGAUAACAAGCAUGAAAUAAAUUUCAAAACUAAUCUAAUUAUUCAACAAACAUGCACACUGAACUUAAAUAACAUUAUUAAUUUUUUCAAAAGUAAUUGGUUGACAUAAUUAUAAGCACAUUCAUCCAAAAAUAUUAAAUUAACUCACAAUUCAAAACCAUGGAGAAGGUUUGCCUAACAUGGAAUCUAUUUAAGAUUUCAAAUCUUCAGUAAACUAAUUUUGCAUCAGAAAAACAAAAACAGAGGGCAACAAUUUUAGAAGACUGACAGUAUAAUGAUAAAAAAAUGGUCAUAAAAAAUGGAGGGAUUGCAUUCCUGAAAAAUAUUAUAGAUGACAUGUUUGAAUGAAAGAACAUAGUAGUCCUCUUGACGUCUUUCAAUAAGUAUAACAUUCUGAUUUUCAUGUCACUUACUCUGGCAAUGGUACUCCCUUUCAAAGUACUUUUUCAAACUAUUGAGUCUGGCUACUUCAGAUAUGAAAAGAAUAGUGCUACCUUCAAUGGUCAUUGCAAACCAUUUAGGUUCCCGAGCUUGAGAAGCUUCAAAGAUGGGAAUUAACCAAUCUCAUGUUUUACUCAUUUCAGCAGUAUAUGCUGCUCACUCAACUCUCAGCUAUAGACCACACAUGGGCAUAAAAAAAUCAACAUUGCAAGCAGAGUAUGACACUUCUAACAAACUGAUUGCGAAGUAAUAAACAAUAAAGGGAUCAAAAGCAUAAACCUAACUAGAAAGAAUGGUUGUGACCAGUAACAAAAACUGAGGGCUAAGGUCGGUGAUGCAAUUGAGAUAACCCUUUUCAUAUUCAUCCACCAUCCAUAACUGGACAACAUUUGUCUCUGGAACAUUGAAGGGCUCAAACAGCAUAAUUGCAUUGUCAUGGUAGCUCAAGCACUCACAAAUAGCAUGGAAAACAAUUCUCUUUUGCUUGUGUACCCAACUGUACAAUUAAAAAUGAAAGAAAAGGCAGAAGUAGAGGAAAUAUUAAUCUAUCAGUGUCUGUCUCCAGCCUAUUAAUCAUGAUGAAUAUUACCAGAAUAAUGUAAUAUUUGUAACUGACGGGUUCUAAAACAAUAAACAUGAACCGAAAAAUGUAGGAAGAGAGGUUCGCAGUGAAAACCUGGAAUUGUGGAAGACUCACUCAAAUUAAAAGAGACCAGUGAGUCCUUCAUGCACCAGCCAUCCAUUACUUGUCAAUAGAAAUUUGUCCUUUUCCUUUUGGCAUCUUCUCCUUAUGUAUUAAGGGAUUUUGAGGCUAUGUAGAGUGCCAAUGGAUUGUUACCUUCCAGUGGUGUCAAGCCACCAAUCCAUAUGGUUACGAGGCUUCCCUUUGAAUUGUGUGCCACUGUCAUCAUCCUCAUUCUCAAACAGAUGUUCUUCUUAGCGGCUGUGACAUGCUGAAUAUGUUGAAACAGAGACAUUGUUCUCUGCACAGACAGUUUAAAGUCUUGGAGAGAAGGGAGGUGUCACAGUCCCACCUCAAGCAGAGAUAUUUGGAGACUUCCAUGAAGACAAGGCCAAUGUGAACUCCAAUCAGCUUUAGUUCCUCACUAUUUUGAAGAUGCAAAAUUUUCAAAAACUUAGUGAUCUAUGCAUUUAUUCGAACAUAUAGACAGUAACAUUAUAAAAAUUGAAGCUGUUAAAAGCAGGACAGAAUAUUGGAUUGCAAACCUGAAAUUUGUUGUAGAUGACAUGCUUCAAUUGAAGAACAGAAAUCCUAUUAAAUCAGGUACCAUAGCUAGUCAAUAUCAAUUUCAGGAAAGUUGAAGUGUUGAGUGACACAUUCCUUCCGGCAGUGAUUUCAAUUCCAGGCCAACAACAUUUUCAAGCUCAUUAAGAGAUGUCAGGCUGUCUUCUAGUCCGGUAAAGUUACAAAACAAGAGAAAUUGAUGAUUUUAAGGAUUUCCAGAAUGUUACCAUUUCCAAGCUCCAAUAGCGGAAGCAUCAACUCAUUAUUCGACAAAAAAAGCUCUUUGCAACAUUUAUUCCACCUCUCAAAGGUGAUUAAAUGUUGCAUCCACUGAUAGAGAUGUCCAAGCCCCACCAUUAUCCCUUUUUACAUUGAAUUUACACCAAUUACAUCUGCAAGAAAAUAGUUAACCUGAGAAACUUCCAAACACAAAUUGCAAGAUCAUUUUAGCAAAACAGAACUAGGAAUUGAUAUCUUUAAAGAUACAUUUUCAAACUUUACUAACUACAAGCAUGCUUUCAGGCCACAAAGGUUCAACUAAAUUAUAAUAUUAAUGGAACAUUGCAUUUUCUCUAUGCUAACUCUAUCAAUGGUUGACAUAAUAAUCAAGUGUUUUUGUCUAUGCUAAUACAUACACAGCAUAGAGAAGACAAGGAGUGUAGAAAAUCAAUGAUGAUGUAGUCAUCAAUAGUGGGAGAAGGAUUACCUGAAUUGAAAAGAAAGCAAAAUUCAUUUCUGCAUGAAUCAUCUAAGAGUAUAAAUUUUUGGGCCAUGUGAAAUUUUAGGCAAAUUCAAGACUGAUCCCCCUUUGGGCUUUAGGCCAAUGAAUAAUCUCGAGUUUCGAAUUUGCAAGAAAUAGUAACUAAAUCAACCCUAGUGUUUUCCAAAAAUCUUAGGAUGUAAAAAUUAAAGUAACAUGAUUACCUUGGUCCUCAAUUACCAAUUAAGAACUUGUCUAAUUGUACAUUGAUUGGAAGAUGCAACAUUUUCAUACUCAGUGAUCUAAGCAUUUUUCCAAAUAGACUGGGGAAAAAAAAUGAUAAAAAUUGAAGCUAUUAAAAACAGGAAGAAACAUUGGAUUGCAAACCUGAAAUACAUUAUAGAGGACAUGCUUGAAUUAUAGAACAGAAAUCCUUUAUGAAUCAGCCAACCAUGUCAAUUUCGAGAACAUUGAAGUGCUGAGGGGACACAUCCCCCUCUGGCAGUGAUUUCAAUUUAAGGCUGACAGCAUUCUGAAGCUCAUUAAGAGAGGUCGGGUUGUUUAUUCAGUCUGAUAAAGCUGCUAAACAAGAACAGUUGAUGUGAGGUUACCAAUACAGUCUAGUAAUGUUGUCAAACUAGAAUGAUCCCAAAUUGUGAGUCUUUGUAGAGUGCUGAGGGAAUCCAUCUCGUCUAGUGGUGAUAUCAAUUGAGGGCAAGAAUGAAUUCAGAGCUCUACAAGUAAUGUGAGUCUGCUUAUCCAGCCUGGGAAUGUUGUCAAUUCAGAACAGAGAAGAGAGCCUGUCCCUCAGCAAGUGAGCAAAGCCUUUCCUAUUUCACCAGCUCUCAAUAGCCUAUCAAGAUAUAUCAGGAGGCAUGGGCAAUAUUAAGCUUAUCUUCACCAUCACCUUCUUUUGCAUUAUCUUGAAAACUAUUAACACCUGUAACAAAAUAUUUAGUUUAAGAAAGCUUCCAAAUGUAUAGAAAGCAAAGAUGAGAUAAGAAAAUCAUUUCAACAAACAUAUUUCGUUUCAUGUCUCAAACUAUUAAGAGUACUUUCAGGAAUGAGAAAAAUGAUGCUACAAAUUGCCUUUUAGUGAAAGUAAAGAUGAUCUCAAUACCAUUAUUGCUUUAGUCCAUAGCAUUUUAAUUCAAAGGUCAACAAGCCUGACAUAAAGGGUGACCAGAUUGUCAUAUGAUUCAAUAAGAUGCACUCCUUGUGCAAAUUGUUGGUUUCUACUACAUAUGAAAAUUAGAAAAAUCAAAACUCAAACAGAAUGUGAAAGUCUUUAACAAAUUGAAUGGGAAGUAAUAAAUUAGCAAUCAACAGUUUUAACAUGUAAAAAGCAAAGGCCAACAACGUAGAUUCACANNNNNNNNNNNNNNNNNNNNNNNNNNNNNNNNNNNNNNNNNNNNNNNNNNNNNNNNNNNNNNNNNNNNNNNNNNNNNNNNNNNNNNNNNNNNNNNNNNNNUUUUGGAAAAAAAAAAUUUUUCUCAAUCCCUUUUUUUUUUUGGCCCAUACCUUUUAAUUUAAAGGGCCACAAACCUAAAAAAAAGGGGGCCCCAAUUUUUCAUUGGUUCAAAAAAAACCCCCCCUUGGGAAAAUUUUUUGUUUUUUCCUAAUUAAAAAAUUAAAAAAAACAAAACCCAAACCAAAUUGGAAAGUUUUUAAAAAAUUUAAGGGGAAAUAAAAAAUUUGCCACCCACCUUUUUAAAAUGUAAAAAACAAAGGCCCACCAGGGAAUUUUAACACCCCCCCCCCCCCCCCCCCCCCCCCCCCCCCCCGCCCCCCCCUUUAUACAUGCUAGUGCAUAUGAGAAUUAGGAAAACAAAAUUUUAAACGAAGUAUUCAAACUCUUAGAAGAUUGAUUGUAUAAUAAAUGAAAUCUUCAAAAACAGGAGAAAUGUUUUAUUACAAACCUGAAUUUCUAGUCGACAUCAAUUGUGGGAACUUGAGAAAUUUCAGGAGGUCAGUCUUCGGCAUGUUUCUAAGCAUAGAUAAUAGGCUCACAGCGCAUAUUAGGGUAGUCAACAACUGAAGGCCAAACCGUAGAGAUAGCUUGUGAGGCUUCAAGGGUAGUGAUUAGGAAUCACUUGAGACAGACACAUUAGGACACAACAGCUUUGAAUUUUUAAUAGCUUGAGAAAAGUGAGGUGUGGAAUCAUUGCAAAAGAUAAUCCUAGCUUUCCAGUUACUGAAGGGAAAUGAGGUGUUUCAGCCACAAUGCUAUCUGCUUUUGCUUACAACACUAUCAGCCACAAAGCCAUUUCAGGGAAAUGAAGAAUUAUCACAAAUCUCUUAAAUAAGGUGAAUCUUCUAUGAGAUAUUAACAAUAUUAAGGUCAUUGAAUUAUAAUUUUAUGCCAUCAUUAGCAAUUGAAUUGAAGAGCAAAACUUCCAAACUUCCUCAUUUAAGCAUUUUAUCUAAAGGAGAAGGUGUACGUUUCAUACCUGAAAUGGCUUUCUGCAUCAAACCCGUCAUCCACUUUUAUUCGGACAUGAGCAAUCUUGGGCCAGUCUUCACCUUUUUCCCUUUGGCAUCUUUUAGAUAAGUAUGGACAUUCGGAGAUUUCGAGUAGGUAGAGGGUUGUGAGGGAACGCAUCUCUUCUGGCAGUGAUGUCAAUUUAGGGCAUUUACGAAUUUGAAGGUAUUCAAGUGAUGAGAGGCUACCUAUCCAAGCUGGUAAUGUUGUCAAACUAGACCAGUCGUGAAUUGUGAGACUCUUGAGGAUUCUAAGACAAUGCAAUUCUUCUGGCAAUGAAGUCAAUUCAGGACAAGUACCAAUUUCAAGAUCAGUCAGCGAGGUGAGGCCGCCUAUCCAGCUUGGUAAUGAUGCCAAACCACAAGAGUAGUCAAUUGAGAGUGUGUGUAGGGCAGUGAGGGAAUGCAUCUCUUGGGGUAAUGAUGUCAAUUUAGGACAAUUUGUGAUUCGAAGGUGUGUAAGCGAGGUGAGGUUGCCUAUCCAAUGUGGUAAUGUUGCAAAAUGAGAGCAGUCCCCAAUUUUGAGAGUUUGAAGAGUGGAAAUAUGUUGAUGAAGCUCAUCUGGGAGAGACAUCAAAUCAUCUAUGUCUUGAAUCCUCACAGACUUCAAUGAAGAAGCAGUGGCCGACAUUAACUCCCGCAAUACCCCCUCUUUCACUUCAUUCAGACACAGACUCUCAAGGCAAGGUAAGGAAGACAGUUUCAAGGAUGUGGGCUUAAGGCAAUGGGAGAUGUAUAAACUAGAAAGAAGAUGAGAUGAAUGCAGUUCCAAGGAUGCCAAGUCACCACAAUACCUAAUCUCUAAUUGUGAAAGAAGAGGAGAUGAAGGUAGUAGUAAGGAUGUCAACUUAGGGCAAAAGGUGAUUUCUAUACUAGAAACACAAGGAGACGGAUACAAUUCUAAGGAUGCCAAGUCAUCACACUUCUUGAUCAGCAAUAGUGAAAGACAAGGAAAUGAAGGAGGUGAUUGUGUUGCUGAGUCCCUCCUCCAUAAUUCCUUCAACUUUGGCAUAGAACUCAGAUAGAGAUUUUGAAGAGAUGGGAAGAAUGGCCCUUCUGAUGAACACUCCAUGUACUCCACCUUUCCCAGAUGAUGAAGCUUCAGAGACUUGAGGUGACGGAGUCGAACAAUGCAUGGUAGAGUCUGACAUCCUAAACAUGAUGCCAAAUAAAUUGUGGUGAGGUUAGGGAGCAUGGUACUCAAUUCACCAUUCAUCAUCCAACGUGGAAAUCCCUUACCUCCAUAUCCUAUUAUAAAGAGAUCCUUUAGGUUUCGAUGUGGUUGGAGGCCUACCAUCACUGACUCAGCAUCCUCACCUGACUGUUCUUCUUGACCAUAUGACCAUUCUAAUCCCAAGGACUCAAUGUAUUGUUUUUCGACCAAAUUUGCUUCCCUGGAUUCUACCUUAGCAUCCAUCACGUUUUCAAGCUUUUCAAUCCACAAUUCUCCUCUGAGGUUGUUCAGCAUUUUUAAUUCACUCAAUCUGCCAACUUUACUCCCAGUUCCAACAACAAACAGUGGUAGGCUUUCAAGCAAAGAUAACUCUCCCAUCCCACAUGUCAUAUGAGUCAAACUCCCACACCCUUGAUUCUCCAAGUGCCUAAGAUUAAUCAAUCUCCUCAUAUCCUUGGGAAAUUUUUUUACAUGCCCACAAUUAAUAAGUUUUAAUGUUUGCAAAUUAUAUAACCAUGUAAUAGCAUUUGGGAGUACCUUGAAAUUAUUAUAUGAAAGAUCGAGAUAUCUUAAAUGACUCAUUUUGCCUAAAGAUUUCGACACCUUUUUUACACUGAAUCCAUGUAGGCUCAACACACGUAAACUCUUAAAAUUUGGAAUAAGAGUACGCACAACUGAAUCAUUUUUAGAAUAUCUAUUAACAUUCAACAUGGUCCUUAUGUGUUUUAGCUUCAAAUCCUUCCCCGUAAGAUUCAACGAAUUAGAGAAUGAAACGUGAUAAACUCUUUCCAAGAUCUCCUUCACAUUAUUUCCUAAACAAAGGACCUCAAAUCCAACAACUGAUUGUGCAAGAUCAUGUAUAAGAUCAUGCAUUUUGUAAUAUGAUGUAUUAUCAUAUGCAUCUUUUGUAACCUCCUCCAAUAAUGAUCUUGACAACAAUUCCUCAAAAUACCGGUUUCCUACCCCUGAAGCUUGAAUAUACCCCUGUGCCAUCCAUAAUUGUACCAACACUUUUUUCUCAAUUUCAUAGUCUUUUGGAAAUAACGCACAAUAACCAAAACAUUGCUUCAAAUGGAAUGGUAGAGCAUCAUAGCUUAACUUGAGCACUGAUAAAACACUAUCAUUAUUUUCACCUUCCAAUAACAACAAAUUUUUGUUGUUUUUAAUGGACAACCACAUACUUUCUUCAGUUUUAAUGCGCAAUAUUGCUCCUAGUGUUUUGAGGAUAAGAGGAACUCCUUUACACAUAUUUACAAUUUCUUUUCCAAUUUCUACAAGGCUUGGAUACAGUCUUUCUUGUCCUUCUUCAAAUGCUAUUUUUAAAAAUAAAUUCCAAGACUGAUUUUCUUUCAAACCUUUCAAAGAAAAAGGAAAAUGAUCAAUACCCAUAGUUGAUGCAACGUUUCUAUUUCGGGUGGUUACUAGAAUCCUACUCCCUUUAUCACCAACCAUCAACAAGGUCCUCAAUUCCUCCCAUUUUUGGAAGUCAUCAUUCCAAACAUCAUCAAGUACUAGCAAGUAUCUCUUCUGCCUUAUUUUUUCAUGCAAGGAAUCUUUCAAAACGUUUAAUGACCCCAAAUCUACAUCUCCACCACUUAAAGAUUCCAAAAUUUUUUUAACCAGCAACUUUACAUCAAAAUCAUCAGAAACACAAAUCCAUAUCUUAGGCUGAAAAAAGUCUGCUACUCUCAUAUCAUUAUAUACCAGCUGAGCAAGGGCGGUCUUACCCAAACCCCCAAUUCCAAUAAUGGCUACAGCAGAAAGAUUUUUUUCAUUCCCUGAUGACACCAACAAUUUUAUUAUCUCCUCUUUGUCUUCAUCUCUUCCCACCAUUUCAGAGGUCAACACAAAUGAGUGAGUCUCUCUCCGACUACUCUCUACCUCCCUCUGAACUACUUUCCCUUGAAUAAGUUUUAGCAUAGGGAUUUCUUUCACAAUUUCUUCAACCUCUUCUUUGAUAUCCUUGAGUCUAUCACUCAUCUUAAAACGAAGUACUACUUGAUUGGAAGAUGAGAAGAAGUCACUGACCUGCCUUGCUACUCCUCCACGCUGCAGCUGAAGCAUCUCAAAGUCAUCCAACAAGUCAUCAGCAUCAUACACAACAUCUUUGAGCCUCCUCACCCAAGCUUUUACUGCAUCGCUCUCCUCCUGCCUCUUCUCAGCAUCAACCAGUACACCUUUGAUGGUGUCCAGCUUCUUCGUAAGCUUCGUUAACUCUUUUGUCACACCAAACGCAGAUCCAAUUUGUUGAAAAGCCGAGGAGCCCAACUUGGUUAAAACGUCAGCUAUAGUACUGAAUGGGAUUUGUUCAGCCAUUUUGGAAGAACUCAAAGUACAGAACGCCAACAGAGUAUGGUAAGAGAAUGAGAAAUUGAGAGAAUUGUAAGAGAGAAUACCACCAGACAAGUAGCGAUGAUAUACACAGGGCUAGUGGGAGGAUAAUAGAAGUACUCAGAUGCAGUGGGGCUAUUAUAUAAUAAUGAGACACAUGCUCUUCAAAUUUAUGAUUUUUAGGCAUGCAUUUUUACAUCACACUAUGACAUUAUUUCAUAUUGAUUAGUUACACUCCUAUUAAGGAUGAAUUAAAAUUAUAUAUAUAUAUUGAUGAUUGAAUUUUAUGCCUUAUGAAACAUUAAAAAUGUUUUCAAAAAUAAGCAAUAAAGUAAUAAUACUGAAGUACAUGAUAAAUCACAUAAAAUUAUAUCCAAUGAAAUCAAAUAUUUAAGUGGAGAAAAUAGGGUGGUGAACAGAAGAUGGGAUUCCAUUGUACAUUACGUACACAAACAUGUUGAUGGGACCACGGAAGAAAUCGGGAGAAUUGUGUUUUGGAAAGCUUUCAUCCUUCACGUUUAAGCUUAAAACCAAAAAGUGUGAAAAUUAAGAAAAAUAAUAUAAAUUUUUUAUUUUUAUAUAAAUAAUUUUUAUUUACUAAGAAUAUAUAUAUAUAUAUAUAUAUAUGUUAAUUUAAAUUUUAUUUCUUUUAUAUAUCUCCAUAAAAUUUAAUAUAAUUUAGUGAUUUAGAAAAAAAAUACACCCUUUUUCAAACAAAUAAAACUAAAUUAUUAUUAUUAUUAUUAUUUAAAAAUCAAACAUCUUGAAAAAUAUAUUUUUUUGGAAAUUGUAUAUAUAAAAAAUAACUAAAAAUAUGUCAAUUUUUUUUAAAUGAUAUAUUUUUAAAAAAAUUAGUUUUCUAAAAAUAAUAAAUUUUCAAAAUAAUUAUUAAAAAAAUUAAGAUAAAAAAGUUUGUUAAAUAUUAUGGUAGAAAAUAGUUUUAAAAGGUAUUAGUCUUUUCAUAUUUUAUAUCAUUUCUAUCAAUUAUACAACUUAUAUAGAUCAAAACUUAAUUUUUUGGCCCAAUUGGGUUCAAAACACAAUUGUCCCGAAAAAAUUAAGUUUGUGAGAUCUUAUUUUAUUAUUAUUAUUAUUAUUUGACGCAUAUAUCAAUGACAUUUUGACAAAAAUAUUAUUUAUUUUUAAAAUAUUUAGUAAAAUAUGAUAAUUUGUAGCAUUAUUUCCUAAGCUACAAUUUUAUUUUAUUUUAUUUUAAAACUAUCAUCUUAAAAAGCAAUUUCCAUAUUCAACUGAAAAUUCGACUUUCAAUUGAAUUUUUUUCAACUACAAUACAUUUGAAAAUAUUUUUUCAAUUAUAAUAUUUUAAAAAAUAUUUUUUAAAAUUGUGAUAUAUUUUAAAAUCUCAUGUAUUAAUCCCCAUUUAAAAAUUAAGUAAAUGUAAAAUCACAUACAAAAGACAAUGAUUCUUGACCAUAAAUAAGGUUAAUUCUCAAGAAAAUGAUCUUUUUUCAAUUUUGAGUAGGGAUAUGAAAAAGAUAAAUUGAAUUGACCUUGAUCAAAACAAAUCAAUUUGAUUAAAAUUAAAAUUUCAAAUACUGAUUGUUGUGUCUAAUUAAAAUUUCAAAUCAUAAAUAAGGUUAAUACUCUUAUUAAAAUUAAAAUUUCUCUAUAAUGUAUUUAUAUUCACAAGCAAAAGUCAUCUUAUAUAGGAUUUCAAAUACUGCUUGUUGUGUCUAAUUAUUCUCACAAUGAUCAAAAGUGAUAAAUUUUAUGAAUUAAUAAAAAUCUAUAAUUAAUAUGACAUUGGAUUCUCCAAUAUAUAUAUAUAAAGGAAUAAUAUAUUAUAAUAAAGAUGGGAAGAAUGUCAUGCGAAAGUGUGACCUUUACCGGUAUAGCACUAAAUGUUUGACCACUUAAGCCAAGAAAAUAUGAUAAAAUAAUGUCAACUAGCCAACAAAUUGUAAUGAAAUCUCCAACAAGUCUUGGAUAAUCUUUUGGGUUUGAUUCGGUCACUGUAUGAGAAAACAAUUUACUAAAAUACAAAAACCUUUUAGGUGGGUUUAAUAAUUUAGUCAUUACGGACAUCAUAGUCCAAAAUUUAAAAAUACCAAAUUUGACAAGCUUAAAGAAAGACCAUCUAACCAUGAUCAUCGUGAAAGUUGAAACCGACUAAGAAUAUUUUUAGGAGGGAUUGAUUUGAUUAUUGCACGUGAAGAUAAUGUACUGUAAACUAAUCAAUAAAAACAAUAGAGGCUUGAUAUAGAAUAGUACUACCAAGAUUAAAAACCUAUAUAUUAAAAAAUAGCAAAUGGAGAAAGUUUGCUAGCAAUUCCUUCCAACAACUCUCAAAGCUAUCCCAUAACUAAUCGAGAAUCUUUUAAGUUUGAUUUAGUCAUUGCUGACAUCAUAGUUCAAAAAAAUUUAAUAAAGAAAAUUUGACAAGUGUACAAAAUACCACCUAACAGUAAAUAUGAAAAUUCAAACUUACUAAAAAUAUUUUAGAAGAGCUUGAUUUAAACAUUGCAUAAGAAGACAAUACACUAUGAUAAAAUAAAGUAAGAACAACAGAGACUUAAUAAUAGUCUAAAAAUUAAAAAUAAAAAUAAAAAUUAUAUAUUAAAAGAUAACAAAUUGAACAAGUUUAAUAGCCACCUCCUUCCGACAACUAUGAAAGUUUUAACAACUAAUUGAGAAUCUUUUGGGUUUGAUUUGGUAGAAAAUAAUAUACUAAAAACAACUAUUUUUUAGCUGGGUUUAAUUUAGUCAUUGUUGGAUGGCAUGGUUUGAAAUUUUGAAAAAAAAAACAAACAAACAAAUUUGAUAUGCUAAAAAAAGACCAUCCUAAAAUACAAUUAACUAAAAAUAUUUCACUAUGAUAAAAGUAAAAAAAUAAAGAAAAAUUUUAAUAACCUUAUUCUUAUUUAUAAGGUUACAAUCAUAAUAAUUAUAAUAAAUAUUUUUAUGAUAAUUCUGAAGGUUUUGUGAAUAUCUUAAAAGUUUAUUACAAGAAAUGAUGAUAUCUAAAAACUUUUGGACCUAUUUAUAAAUACUCUCCAUUAAAUGUUAACCACUGUAGAAUAUGUAUCACUAAAACAUUAUUAGGUUUUAUUAGGAAAAACCUUGUGAAGAAAAAAAAAAAAAAACUCUAGUGAAAGAAAAAAAGUAUAAUAUUAUUUUCAUAUUUUUGGAUUAUUUCGUCGAAAACCUUGUUAGCAAAAUCCAAUGAGAUAAAACUCGAGCAAAGGAAAAAAGAAUCUAGUAUAUAAGUACCCUUAUUAAUUGGAUCCUCAUCAUAUUAACAUGAUUAUACUUUCUCUAAUUACUCAUCAUGAAGAUCUUAAUUUGAGUCGACACACUUCAAUGUUAUCUAUGAGCUUUUGAAGUGUUGCAAUUGGUAAUGCUUUUGUCAGCAAGUAUGCUAAAUUAUCACUUGACAGUAGGGAUGGCAACGGGGCGGGUUUGGGGUGGGGCGGGGCGGGCGGGUAUGCUACAUUCCCAUACCCGCCCCGUUUAACUUUUUAUUUAAUUUUAAUUUUAAUUUUUUAAAUUACUUUUAAAAUUUUUAAUUAUAUUAAAAUAAAUAUAUUUUAUAAAUAAUUAAAUUAUUUUAUUUUUUAUAACUUAAUUUAUUAAAAAUAAUUUAUUAUUAUCUAUAUAUUAAAAAUAAUAAAAUAAAAAUUAAAUUAAAUUAAUUUUAAAUUUUAAAUUUAAUUUAAUUUUAAUUUUAAUUUUAUAUAUAAUCGGGGCGGGGCAAUACCUGAACCCGCCCUAAACCCGCCCCGAGUUUCAAAAAAAAAUCCCAAACCCGUCUCAUACCCGUCCCAUUGCCAUCCCUAGUUGACAGUGCUCUUCAAGAGCUUAUGAUUGUAGAAGAAUUUGAUGAAAUGCCCUUGGUUUGAUAACCUUUAAUAUAUUAUAUUUUAAUUUGUGGAAUAUAUUCAACAUGAUAUUCAUUUAAUGCUAUUGGAUUGUCUUUGAUAGAGAAUAAUUAACAAGACUCUCAUAUAUCUUGGAUCAUAAAUCUUAACCACACGAGUCUACCAUGCUUCAAGUGCAUCUUACAUUCAUUUGUCAUUAUAAUAAUUAUUUGCCUUAUUAGGAUAUUAAUUAUCUUUAGCACCAAAUAUUUUAUCAUACUUCUAUUGUAUUAGUUAAUUGUCAUGCAAGGACAUCACUUUAUCAUAUUCACUUGUAUAAAAAUUAUCUAAAAAGUUGCAUGUCAUUCUUCUAGAUUGGCUUUCCCAUCCCUAAUAGUGAGAAAAUUGUUUCAUUAAAAUAGAAAUUCUCAAAGCAUGCAUGUCAUACUACCCUUUAGGAGUGUAGAUAAACCAGUCACUAAGAAAUGUCUAAUAUAUAUCCAUAUGAUGUUAACGCAAUGAGUUGAUGUAUAACUAUUCAUCGGGGAUGAAAUGCUUAGUUGUAGGACUGAAACUCAUUAAUUGUCCUUAUAUGUCAUACCUUUAACAAUCAUUUUUAUGGUUUUGCAUAGAUUAUUUUACAAGUAUUUUGUUUUUAAUCAUUUUAUCAAUUUUGAUGGGAAAGUGUAGUCUUCUUUUUGGGAAAACUAUAACAUCCAUAGAUUCAAGAGUUAUUUUAUACCACAAUUCAUAUGAUCACAUUUUUGUCCACUGACACAUUAUGAAAUGGUUACAUUCACUUCUAGUUGGAUAAGACUAGUAAUUUUUCACGAAAAAAUCAUUAUUCUCAUAUGCAUUUAGUUAUAGUGAGCUUUGGGAGGAAUUAUAAUCUUUUGAUGCUUAUAUAUCUCUUUUAUAUUAUUGUAUAGAAUGAAAGUGCUAUUUAAGGCUAUUGAGAUCAUUAUUUUAAGAAUUAAAUUUAUCAAAAAUUCAAUUUUAAUAAAAAAAAAUGUAUAUAAGGGAAUAAUAGAUUAUAACAAAGAUGGGAAGAAUGUCAUGUGAAAGUAUGACGUUCACCCAUAAAAUACUACAUGUGACAAAGCUUAAGCCAAAAAAAUAGGAUAAAAUAAUGUCAACUAGCCAAGAAAUUAAAAUGAAAUCUCCAACAAGUCACUGAUCAUCUUUUAGGUUUGAUUUGGUCAUUGCAAGAGAAAACAAUUUACUAAAAUACAAAAUCCUCUAGGUGUUUAAUAAUUUAGUCAUUGUAGACAUCAUAGUCCAAAAUUUUAAAAUAGCAAAUUUGACAAGCUUAUAAAAGGCCACCUAACUAUGAUCAUGAAAAUUGAAACCGACUAAAAAUAUUUUUAGGGGGAAUAGAUUUGAAUAUUGCACAUGAAGACAAUGCACAAUAAACUAAUAAAUAGAAGCAAUAGAGGCUUGAUAUAGAAUAGUGUUACAGAGAUUAAAAAACUAUCUAUUAAAAAAUAGCAAAUGGAGGAAGCUUACUAACAAGAAUUAAAAUUUCGGUUUUCAUCGGCAAAAUAUCGUCGAUGUAUCAAAUAUCGGUGGUGCCCAACACGAUAUUGGGCACAGAUUAUCGAUCAUUGGGAAUUUUGAAAUUUUUUUAGUAAUAUCGUCGAAAUAUUGACAAUAUAUCGGUUUGGAGGCGAAGUAUCAACGAAAAAAUUGGCAAAAAAUCGCCGAUUUUUUAAUUUUUUUAAUUUUUAAUUUUUGACGAUCCAACGGUUAGAUUUGAAUUUUUGACGAUUCGAUGACCUAGAUUUCACCUGUGUUUUUAUAUUAUCAUUUUAUUUUUAAUUAUUUUUUAUAUUUAUCUCAUUAAUCCUAUCUUUAAAAAUUAUUAUCACUUCACUCUUAAAUAUUUUUUUAUAUUUAUCCUUUCAAUUUUAUUUAAUUUUAAAUGUUUUUAUUUUAAAAUAUUAAAAAUAUAAUUUUACCCAAAAAAAUUGCUACAAUAUAAAAAAUUAAGGAAGUUCUAAUAUUUUAUAAAUUAAAAUUAAUUAUAGUGAGCUUUGGGAAGAAUUAUAAUCUUUUGAUGCUUAUAUAUCUCUUUUAUAUUAUUUUAUAGAAUGAAAGUGCUAUUUAAGGCUAUUGAGAUCAUUAUUUUAAGAAUUAAAUUUAUCAAAAAUUCAAUUUUAAGAUAAAAAAAAUGUAUAUAAGGGAAUAAUAAAUUAUAACAAAGACGGGAAGAAUGUCAUGUGAAAGUAUGAAAAUAGGAUAAAAUAAUGUCAACUAGCCAAGAAAUUAAAAUGAAAUCUCCAACAAGUCACUGAUCAUCUUUUAGGUUUGAUUUGGUCAUUGUAAGAGAAAACAAUUUACUAAAAUACAAAAUCCUCUAGGUGUUUAAUAAUUUAGUCAUUGUAGACAUCAUAGUCCAAAAUUUUAAAAUAACAAAUUUGACAAGCUUAUAAAAGGCCACCUAACUAUGAUCAUGAAAGUUGAAACCGACUAAAAAUAUUUUUAAGGGGAAUAGAUUUGAAUAUUGCACAUGAAGACAAAGCACGAUAAACUAAUAAAUAGAAACAAUAGAGGCUUGAUAUAGAAUAGUGUUACAAAGAUUAAAAAACUAUCUAUUAAAAAAUAGCAAAUGGAGGAAGCUUACUAACAAGGAUUAAAAUUUCGGUUUUCAUCGGCAAAAUAUCAUCGAUAUAUCAAAUAUCGGUGGUGCCCAAUGUGAUAUUGGGCAUCGAUUAUCGAUCGUUGGGAAUUUUGAAAAUUUUUUAGUAAUAUCGUCGAAAUAUUGACAAUAUAUCAGUUUGGAGGCAAAAUAUCAGUGAAAAAAUUGGCAAAAAAUAGCCGAUUUUUUAAUUUUUUUAAUUUUUAAUUUUUGACGAUCCAACGAUUAGAUUUGAAUUUUUGACAAUUCGAUGAUCUAGAUUUCACCUGUGUUUUUAUAUUAUCAUUUUAUUUUUAAUUACUUUUUAUAUUUAUCUCAUUAAUCCUAUUUUUAAAAAUUAUUAUCACUUCACUCUUAAAUAUUUUUUUAUAUUUAUCCUUUCAAUUUUAUUUAAUUUAAAAUUUUUUUACUUUAAAAUAUUAAAAAUAUAAUUUUACCCAAAAAAUUGCUACAAUAUAAAAAAUUAAGGAAGUUCUAACAUUUUAUAAAUUAAAAUUAAUUAUAGUGAGCUUUGGGAAGAAUAUUAAAAAAUAUAGUGAGCUUUGGGAAGAAUUAUAAUCUUUUGAGGCUUAUAUAUCUCUUUUAUAUUAUUGUAUAGAAUGAAAGUGCUAUUUAAGGCUAUUGAGAUCAUUAUUUUAAGAAUUAAAUUUAUCAAAAAUUCAAUUUUAAUAUAAAAAAAUGUAUAUAAGGGAAUAAUAAAUUAUAACAAAGACGGGAAGAAUGUCAUGUGAAAGUAUGACGUUUACCCAUAAAAUACUACAUGUGACAAAGCUUAAGCCAGAAAAAUAGGAUAAAAUAAUGUCAACUAGCCAAGAAAUUAAAAUGAAAUCUCCAACAAGUCACUGAUCAUCUUUUAGGUUUGAUUUGGUCAUUGCAAGAGAAAACAAUUUACUAAAAUACAAAAUCUUCUAGGUGUUUAAUAAUUUAGUCAUUGAAGACAUCAUAGUCCAAAAUUUUAAAAUAACAAAUUUGACAAGCUUAUAAAAGGCCACCUAACUAUGAUCAUGAAAAUUGAAACCGACUAAAAAUAUUUUUAGGGGGAAUGGAUUUGAAUAUUGCACAUGAAGACAAUGCACGAUAAACUAAUAAAUAGAAGCAAUAGAGGCUUGAUAUAGAAUAGUGUUACAGAGAUUAAAAAACUAUCUAUUAAAAAAUAGCAAAUGGAGGAAGCUUACUAACAAGGAUUAAAAUUUCAGUUUUCAUCUGCAAAAUAUCGUCGAUAUAUCAAAUAUCAAUGGUGCCCAACACGAUAUUGGGCAUCCAUUAUCAAUCAUUGGGAAUUUUGAAAAAUUGUUAGUAAUAUCAUUGAAAUAUUGACAAUAUAUCGGUUUGGAGGCAAAAUAUUAGUGAAAAAAUUGGCAAAAAAUAGCCAAUUUUUUAAUUUUUUUAAUUUUUAAUUUUUGACGAUCCAACGGUUAGAUUUGAAUUUUUGACAAUUCGAUGACCUAGAUUUCACCUGUGUUUUUAUAUUAUCAUUUUAUUUUUAAUUACUUUUUAUAUUUAUCUCAUUAAUCCUAUUUUAAAAAAUUAUUAUCACUUCACUCUUAAAUAUUUUUUUAUAUUUAUCCUUUCAAUUUUAUUUAAUUUUAAAUGUUUUAUUUUAAAAUAUUAAAAAUAUAAUUUUACCCAAAAAAAUUGCUACAAUAUAAAAAAUUAAGGAAGUUCUAAUAUUUUAUAAAUUAAAAUUAAUUUGAUAAGAUAAAUUAUUAAUAAUUUUAAUGAUUUAAAUAAAUUAAUGUUAAUAGAAAAAGUUGUUACCACAUAUUUUUAAUAAAAUUUUAGAUAUUAAAUCUCAAAUAAAAUAUUUUAUAUAAAUUAAUUUAUUUUUUCAUUUAAAAUGUAAUAAAACAUGUUUUAAUAAAAAUAUUUUAAAAUUUUUAAUAUAAGGCCUCAUUCAUCUAAUAAUAUGAUAGAUCCACAUCCAUCUUCAUUUUGGUACUAAGGACUAUUAUAAUGUCAUAUGUAUUAUAUUUAUGUAUAAACUAUUCUUAUUCAAUAAAAGCAAACAUUUCUUAAUUCAAUUCUAACUUUCUAAGUGUACACUUCCAAAAUUCAUAUUUAUUAUUCUUAAAAUCCAAGUAUCAAAUCUACUGAUAUAUCUCUAUUUACCAAUAUUUUUCUUCUUGACCAUAUCUAUGUCAAUUACACUUAUAAAAUAACUUAAAAAUGUGUAUUCUUGCUUAUUUUAUCAUUUUUUUUUUAGUUUUUCCAAGUAUUCCUAUAAAUUUUGAAUAAUAUUCAUUGCACCGAUAUUUUUUAUAUAUCCGUAAAAUCGAAGUACUGAUAUAUCCGUAAUUACCGAUAUUUUCAUCAUUACUUACUAGCAACUUCCUUUCAUGUUCCAACAACUCUGAAAGCUUCCAUACCUAGCCGAGCAUUUUUUGAGUUUUGAUUUUUUUCAUUACAUGGAAAAAAUAUUGUACCAAAAAAAUAAAAGUCUUUUAGGUGGGUUUAACUUAAUAGUCGUUGACAUCAUAGUUCAAAAUUUUUUUAAAUAGCAAAUUUGACAAGUGUACAGAAUACCACUUAACCAUAAAAAUAUUCAAGAGGGGCUUGAUUAAAAUAUUGCAUAUGAAGACAAUUUACUAUAAUCUAAUAAAGUAAGAAUAGCAUUGACUUAAUAAUAACCUAAAAAUAAAAAAGAAACUAUAUAUUAAAAAAUAGGAAAUCAAACAAGUUUAUUAUUAGCAACCUCCUUCCAACAACUAAGGAAGUUUCCACAACUAAUUGAGAAUCUUUUGGCUUUUAUUUGGUAGAAAAUAAUACACAAGAACAAACAUUUCUUAGUUAGGUUUAAUUUAAUCAUUGUCAAUGGCUCUUAGAGUGCAUGAUAUAUAUUAUGAGGUCUAAUCUUAUAAGCUUAAAUAUCUAUUAGAGCACAUGAUAUUCAUUUUCUUCUCCCUUACAAUAGCCUCCAUUUUUUGGUUUACAUGUGGGCUUUAUGGAUUGAGUAAAUAAACAUGUUGUGGUGAGGUUCAAACUAUUGACCUUCCAACAACAAAGGCUCUAGGUAAUACCAAUUCUUGGAUCAGGAUUUGAUCAUCUUAAUCUUAUAAUCUUUAGUUUUUCUACUAAUGUUGGACUAUUAGAAAAAGUAUAAUUAUGUCAACAUGACGAGGAACAAAUAAAUAAGAAUGUUAUUAUGUUGUACUCUUUUUUUUCUUUGCUCAAGUUUUAUUUCAUUGGGCUUUGCUGACAUGGUUUUUAAUAAGAUAAUUUUUGUUGUAUAAAAAUAUUAAAAUAAUAUUAUACUCUUUUUCUUUUACUCAAGUUUUUUCCAUUGGGUUUUCCCUACUAAGGUUUUGUAAGAUGUUCUAAAAUGGUUAGCAUCCAAUGGUGUGUAUUCUAAUUAGGUGCAAAAAUUUGUAGAUGUUACCAUUUCUCAUAAUAUAUGUUUUUGAUAUCCAUGUAAACUUCAUAAUUAGUAUAAAAGUAUUUAUUGUAACAUUAUAAUACUAAAAUACUUUGGUUAGUUUCAAUUUAAGACAAUCUUUUGUGAGCCUAUCAAAUUUACUAUUUUUAAAUUUUUUGAUUAUGACAUUGUUAGACUACAUGAUAUACAUAAUAUGAUUUGGGAUUAUUAGAUCCGACUUUGACUAUCUCGUUUGAAAUCUAAUUGGUAUAUAGUGAUGAUAGGCUAAGUCUUUUAUUGCAUUCGACUACCAUCAUUUAAGUGAUUCAUCUACCAAGCUUAAGAACGACAUUGUUACACCCCAAUAAUCCCCCCCCCCCCCCUAACAUGAUGCUCUUGUGGCUCAAACCUAUGACCUUGACUUUGACACCAAUGUUGAAUAUCGAUUUUUCUAAAAGCUUAAAUUUAUAAGAUUUGGGCUCACAAUGUAUAUUAUGCACUCUAAUAGAGACACUUCAAUGUUGGCUAUAAGCCUCUAGAGUGUUGUAGUUGACAACACUUUUGAAAAGAAUUUGAUGAAAUAUGCUUUGUUUUAUAAUAUUUAAUAUAUAAUGCAAUUUAUUCAAUAUGGUAUUCAUUUGCUACCAUUGGAUUUUCUUUGAUAGAGGAUAAUUUAGAACAGUCUCAAAUAUGUUUGAUCAUAAAUAUUAACAACUCACAUUCACAACUUGCUUCAUGAAUCAUGUUAUUUUGGAAUGAUUUGAGGAGGUGGCUACAAUUCAUUGCUUGACCAAAUUUCCAUAAUCAAUAUAUGUUUGAUCUUGUUCUAAUGCCUUCGAGUUGGAAUAGGAACUAUACAUCUUGCUAGUACAUUAAUUUGUACAAUUUGCAAGAUAUAUCAUUAUGUUAAUUGCAUUGAGAUAUGAUACUUUUGGACCAAACACUUCCAUUUUCUUCUUUGGAUGAAAUGUAUCUUUAUUUACUUCAAGUGAACAAAUAACUAUAUUAAAGCUAAAUGAGUGUCAUUUAUCCACAGGAAAGUAUUUUAAGACUUUUUGUAUAUAUGUCAACUGAUGGACUAACACACCUCUUAGAAAAUAAUUGAUCUAUAAGUUUAGAUAAAAUUUUGGUUUUCCAAUAUCCUUCAUUUUCUUAUGAACUCUAUUAAACCAAAGUUUGAUUAUUAUUGAUUUUGAUAAUAACAAAAUAAGGUUUGAAACUAAUGAUUGAUCCUAAGUGUGUUUAGGUAAGAAGAUUUCUAAAGAAGCAAUUAAAGAUAUAUAAAAACUAAGUGACAUCAAAAAGAAAGAGAAAGGACUUAAAAAGAAGAAGAAUGAAAACCUAUUCUCAAUAUCUUUUUAUAAGGUUGUAAGUGCACUAGGUUCAUAUUGCAUUACAACUUUAUUUAAGAACUUAAAAUUAUCCAAGUGCCUAAUUGGUUUCAUUCCUUUAUAAAUUGAAUGAAGAAUCUUUCUAGAUGAGAACCAUUUUUGUUUAGUGAUAUUCAUAGUUAAAAUGGUUUUCGAAAUGACAAGGAAUUAUCUAGCCAAUUUCCCUAAGGAUUUUGUGAUAAAGUUGCAAAACCUAUAGAACUCAUUUAUGUAUUUUUGUGAAUGAUUUUUAUUAACAAAGUUCCCAAUAUCUCAAGAAAGAUUCAAGUAUUGAAUCUAGUUAAUUGAAGACCUGCAUCCCUUCAAUGAGGUUAAGGUGUAUUUAUAACAACUAAUACUCAAUCAUGUAGAUAUUAUCCGUUUUGGACCCAAAAGGACCCUCACAACUUUAAAACGCAUCUACAAGGUUAAGAAAAGUUCAUACAUAUAUAACCCCACUAACUUUCUCCCUUAUCCGAUGUGAAAUAUCACAAACACCCUAUAUGUAGACACAAUGUCCUCAUUGGGUUCCAUGGGAUUAUGGGGACAAACAAACAAACACCCCUUAUGGGGCCAAACAAACCCCAACAAACCCCAACAUCAAGGUUGAGAAUUGACUUUAAUACCAUUUGUAAUGACUUGCACCCAACUGUGUAGAUAUUGUCCACUUUAGGCUCAAAUGAGCCCUUAUGGCUUUAAAAUGCAUUUAUAAAAUUAGAGGAGUUCAUACAGUGUUAAGAACUUUCUCCCCUAUUCAAUGUGGGAUAUCCAAACACCAUUCAUCAUUCUCUCCUCAUGUAGACAUAACAUCCUCAUUAUGCCCAUGAGAUUACGAAGCCAAAUAAACAAAACACCCCUUUAGGUUAAAUAGCUGACAAUCUCUACACGGGUGUGAGUCAUUAUAAAUGAUAUCAAAGUCAAUCAUUGACCUCGAUGUAGGGGUUUGUUUGGCCUCGUAAUCCCAUGGGACACAACAAAGAUGUUAAUGUGUCUAGAUGGGGGUGUUUGUGAUAUCCCACAUCAAAUAAGGGAGAAAGUUAUUGGUACUAUAUAUGUAUGAACUCCUCUUAAUCUUGUAGAUGUGUUUUAAAGUCGUGAGGGUUAAGUCAUUACAGAUGGUAUUAAAGUCGAUCCUCGACCCCAAUGUGGAGGUUUAUUUGGUCCUAUGAGGGGUGUUUGUAAUAUCCCACAUUGGAUGAGAGAGAAAAUUACUUAGACUAUAUAUGUAUGAACUCCUCUUAACUUUGUAGACGUGUUUUAAAGUUAUGAGAACCUCUUUAUACAUAGAGCGGACAAUAUCCACACCUUAUAGUAUUCACUUAACUAAUAGGAAGUUGUUGCGUCGUGUACUUGAAUCAAAUUGUAAAUACUAAAGAGUAAGUCUUUAUGGUAAAACUACUAGGUAAAUUUGUGUAAUUUGAUCUCAUAUAAUGGAUUUAGAUUAGUGGUCUUAGGCCUCAUGGUUUUUUUUUUUAUCUCCACAAUUAGUGUCAGGAUUUUCCACAUAAAAAUUUCUAUGUCUCACGACGUAUUUUGUGAUUUUGUGGUUACUUUGAUCAUAUAAAUUAUCCUUGAUAUAUUGCAAGUUUAAUUGGGUUUCAAAACUAUUCUCCCUAUUUAAAUUUAGGUUAAUAAAUUUCAUUCCUUAUAUUAUAUUUUUUUUAAAUACUUCAACCUCUAUAGGUGUUAUCCUACUGGACUUAGGUUUUUCAAAGAAUAAUAACAUAAAAGAAAUAAAGUGGAAUUAUAUGAAAAUUAUGAAUAACAUUAAUUUGAAACGAUUUUUCAAUUGAUAAUUUAAAAUUUCAAAUAAUAAAAUAAAUUUGAAAAAUAAUUUUAAAUUGACAAUUUUAAAAGAAGAAUUUUUCCAAAUCUUUUAAGAAAUUUAGAAAGGAAUUUAAAUUGGAAUUUAAAAAUGAAAAUCUUUUCAAAUCUCUUUGAUUUUUUAAAAAGAAAAUAUUUCCAAAAUUCUCUAAGUAUUUGAAACUAACCUCUUUUUUUUUUUUUUUUUUUUUUUUUUUUCUAAAAUACGAUUUCUAAAUUGAUUCUAAGUCAACUAGUUUUUCUUUAGUAUAAAUAUGUCUUUUAGGAGAGUUCUAAGAACUCACACACCUAAGCUUUAAGUCAUUAUUCUUUGUGCUUAACCCGAAACUCUCAAAGGUGUUUGUUUUCAUUCUUGGAUUCAUGAGAAAGAUUUGCAUUCCCUUAAGUUGUUGAGGAGUCCACUAAGGAGCACAGUUGUGUUGCAUGUAGAUGAGAAAUUAGGUGUAGGUUCAAAGGUGUAAGUAAGUCUCAGGAAGUAGUAACCAUCAAGUAAAUUUAUGUACCUAGUCUUCAUAUUUAGUAUAUUACAACUCUAUGGUCUCUUGACCCUAAAGUUUUUAUUUUCACAAAGUCUUUGGAAGACUUAGUGGGUGAUUUUGUAAAUUGUUGUCUUCUUAUGUAAUUAUAUUUCUCUACUUCAUAUGUAAUUCUUGAAAAGGAAUUUAAAAAUAAAAAGUUAGGUUAAAAAGAAAGAACUAUCUAUUCAAUGCCCUUUAGGUAGGUUCAUAACAAGACCUAUAACUUUCAAUUGGUAUCAUAGUUAGAAAAAAAAUAUAUAAAAAUCAAAAUUUUCUUCAAUUCCUAUCUUUGAUAUUGUUUUCACGGAAUUUAAAGAAAAAAAUAUUUACUUUUGGCUUGUAAAUUUUUUUUCUUAGUCGGGAAAGAUUGCAUAAAGAAUAUAAAUGGUUGGAUAAAAAACUCAAGUAACAAGAACUCGUAUGUGAGUAUUUAUCUCUUGAAUAAAAAAAGGCAGCAUGAAAUAGUUGCUAAUUUGAAUAAAAAAAUGAUCACUUUCCAAUAAAGUUGCCUUCUUUGAAAAAGAAAAUCAUUGGUGUCAUAAAAGUAAAAAAUCAUUGACUCUUGAAAUAAAUAAUUGCAAGAGAGAAUUAUCUUGUAGGAAAAAAAUUAGUCGGUCCAAAGAAACAUAAGAAAGUCAAGAAAGUGACUUGGAGUUAGUCCAAGUCAAGUGAAAGUAAAUCAUGGAAUUUUGGUGAGAAUAGCAAUCAAAAUGACUACUUUGUAUUGGUUGCACCUGUUUGAAUAUGAUAAUAAUUCUUUUAAUGAUAGAAAUUUUGAUGAUAGUGUAUGUGUGUUUGGUGAUACUGAUGAAGCCUAUCAAAGCUAGUCUUUUGAAUGAAUGCAUCAAAUUAAAGAAAGAAAGAAAGCAUGCUAGUGAAUGAUAAAUAAUCUAUUGAGAUAUUUGCUUUAAAUGAUUCACUUAAAGAUAAGAAUAUUGUUUCGAAAAGAGAAAGAAAACUUACUUGAAAAAAUUAGAUUUCUAGAGAAUUAACAUAGUUGCUUGGUUGAGAGAAAAAACAAAGUUAAAUUCUAGAAAUUGAAAAACUCAAGAAAAACUUGGCCUCAAAAAAUGAAAAUUUGCAUUUAGGAACUAAAAUGUUUAAUGAAAUCAUUAGAAAAGGGAAAUUCAAUGGAGAUAAGGGAUAUCUUGGUGAGUCAUAUGCAAUGUUUGGUUUAGUUUACCUUGUAGUUGCUAAUGUGGGUGCUAGCAACUAAGUGGGAGUGUUUGAAGUAGGAUGAAUGGAAUUCCAAUGUUCCAAAUCAGUUGAUUACCAACGAUGAUUGGAGCUUAUAUGUGAAGCUACAUUUAUCCCUCUUAGCUUAGGCUUUUGAGAGUAUAUAUGGUCCCAAAUCACCAGAUCAUGAAGACAACAUUUUGGGAUCUAAGAAUUCCCUCAUAGUAGUUGGGGAUAAAGCUUUUGGGCAAACCCCAAAGCAGGAGAUAGUCUGAGGAAUUUUCAGCUACCAUCCUCGUGUAUUCUUUACUAUUCUCAGGCUCUCUUAGUAAUUUUCAUUGCAUUGUUCAUGUGUAAUUAGUUUUUGAAGAUUUUAAUAUAGAUGCCUAUAGUUUUGUAUAGAUUUUGAGCACUUUGGACUUCAAUUUAAUGGUUUUUUUGAAUUGCAAGUUCUGACCUUAUUCUCUUUGUUCUUUAUCAUGUGUGACCAAUAGUUCUUCAAAGUUAAGGAGGGUGGUCCGUGAAGUCCCUUCAGGAACAAUUAAUGCACCUCACGGGAUGAAUUGAUAUUGUCUUCACCUUGUAAUCGAAGCCUCCCAAACCCAUUUUGCUCUUUGGAAUGGAAACUUAGAAGUUGCUUUUAAGGUAUUUUAUGUGCUGAGGGUCGUAACUGUCUUUGAACUUUGAAGUUUAGGCUAGAAUUGAAGAAAAAUGUGAGCAAAAACACAAAAAUACAAAGAAAAAAAAUUGAACAUUAAUAAAUUAUGUUUAUAUGCUACUUCAAAUUCAUUCAGUUUUAUUUUUUUUAUUUAUUAUUUUAUAUAAAAAUUAAAUAAAUUAAAAAUCCAUAAAUUUUUAAUUAAUUCUAAUUACAUUUGAUUGUUUUCUUUUUUUGUACUUUUUCAAACAAAACCAAAUAGUAGGAAAUCAUUUUUCUUUAAUACUAUUUUCUUUUUCUUUAAUAUUUUCUGGGAAUUAAUAUAGUCUUAAAUCUGACAUUGGCAUUAGGAUGAAAAUAAGGUUGUUAAAAUGAUAGAAAGGUUAAGGUUGCAAAGGCAGAGCUACAAGUAAAUGUUUAUCUGUUGGAGGCUCUAAGUUGUGUAUUGGCCGUGAAAGGAGGAACUUCAUUAGACCCCCUUUUGUUGGAAUGUUAAGUUUAUUCGGUGUUUACAUAGCUGUAAAUAAUUUUUUUUCUCGCUUUUUUUUAACCAAAUAUUUCCCAGGUCUUCCAAUAUCUCAAUAUCUCCUUAUUAAACAAUCCUCUUUCAACCACAACACAAUUUAAAGAGAAAAUCAGCACCACUUUGGGACAUCAUGCCUGUGAAAGACUCCCUGUACUUGAGGAAUCAACACAGUCAGCAUUCAGGGCUCAAGUAUUCUUUUCAUUUUAGGCUUUUAGAGUAACAAACCCAUGGUGUGCCAGUAAAUGGAAAAAUUGGAGAUGAUUACAGCAUACAGAGACAACAUAAAAAUGAACUAAAAUCAAUUAAAUAAACAAAAUUUCAAAUUCAAAUAUAAAGCACUCAGUAUAUUGGGCUCAAUAUUAGAAACUAGAAAAGAUCCUAAGGAAAAAUGAACUCAGAUAAAAGAUUUACAUACAAACAAGUCGAAAAGGACCCAAAAAAUAAACAUCAUUGAAGUACUACUCCAAGAGAUAUAUUAAUACAUAAUAAGUCAUCUAUUAAUGUUUAGAAAACAAAUACACUUGAGGAAGGUUUAGAAGCCAUGAGUGCUAUGAUCUCAUGUUUGGGUUUGAAUUAAAGCUUCAACAAUCACCCAUGAUAACAAUGAUGGAGAAUUUUGAAUCCACCAUUCCUUUAUCAAUCAACAUCCUCUUAAUCCAUACAUUCCCUUUUUUACUUUCCAUGUUUCAGUAAUGCAUUUUAAGGCAACACCUAUUUCAGCAAGGAAAGAUCAAUGGAAACUGAGAGACUGUAGCAGUCAUUCUUGUGCUCCUCAUUCCCUUCUCUCUUUGAGGUUGCUUGCUUUUCAAGAAAAUUUCAUUCAAGUUUUCAACCAAAAUUUUUAAUGGAUUUUCUUGAGAAAGAAUGGGAUGAUUCUUCAUUCAUUCAUAUCUCAAUUUUGAAUCUAUUUGGGUUUGUGUAAAAACAAAUGUUCUUCUUGUGUGAAUUCAAGAAGAACCCGAGAUUGAACUUGAUGUGGACUCCAAGUGUGCUUUGGAAGAAGAAGGUGAGAAGUUGAAAGUGAAAGGUAUUAGUAAGGAUUGGUAGGUUUGAACUAAGUAAAAUCUUGUAUUCAGUUUUUAUUCUUCAUAGUGGACAUUUUUUAUUGGUUGUUGGCCCGUGGUUUUUUACCUAUUCGGAGGUUUUCCACGUUAAAAUUUGGUCUCAUUGUCUCUCAUUCUCCUCUUCAUUUCAAUUUCAAUUUUAGCUAUCUUUGAUAUUUUGGACGUUUAAUUUUUGGUUGAAUGUUGAGGUAAAAUAUAUAUGAGUUACCUUUAAUGUUAUUGUUAGCCCAAGGGUUCUCCUAAUCGGGUUUUGAUGAUAACAAACCAUGGCUAAGUAACUAAUUGGUUUAAUGUUUAAGAAUCUCAGGUAUAAACUCGAAAAUUCAUCAAAUGACCAAAUGGAUACAAGAUCGAGACGCUUGGAAGACUUGAGAUCAUAGGAAAUGAAUGUAAGAUGAUAGCAUGAGUGCACUUAGGAUGUUCAUACCUUUUCAUGCAUCUUAGAAAACUCGGUUUAUUCUUUAAAACUUGAUUUUCUUUAAAACCCGAGUUUUAUCAAACAUACCUUAGGCAAAUUGAUUCAAAAGUGGCAUAUUAACUCACCUAAAGACCUUGCCUAAGUAUUGGAAAAGAAAGAAAUAAAAAAGGAUAGGUUUUCGGAGCCAAAAGGCUCAACCGGUCGAGGCUAAGGCCAACCGGUCAACCGGUUGAGUAACCGGUCGACCAGCUGAGGUCGUCCGGUCGAGGAUCGGACGAGGAAGGUUAAAAACAUUUUCUCUCUCCCAGUAGCCUUCUUUUCCCGGUCGAGGUGAUUCCUUUACCGGUCGAGGACUGGUCGAGGUCCGGUUGAGGCAACGGUAACCUGUCAUACAUUAAAUGCUCCAACAGCUAGUGAACCGGUCGACCCCUAGCUCGACCGGACGAGGCUGCCUUUUGCUGUUUUUGACUCCCGAGUUUAGAAACCUAUAAAUUGAGAGCUCCACUUCAUUCAUGACCAAGAGAACAAUUGCAUUCAAAGCCUACCUACCUGUUCUUGAUCAAAAAGCUUUCAUUUCUUUCUUAGUGCAUUAAAACCAUCACUUGCAUAUUCUUAGUGCACUAUUGUAAAUCAUCCUAGCUUUCUCUUAUACUUGAGUCAUCCUUAAGCUAGGUUGAGAGUUUCAUCUUUGUGUAAACUGAGUGUGAAAGCCUUCAAGUGGUUCAAAUCUUAAAGAGAUUGUGUAAGAGCCCAUUGGAGCCGGAAUCCAAGUGUAAGAAGAUUGAAAGCUUGAUUGAAGCUUCAAGAUUAGUGGAACCCUCACUCGGUUAGGAGAUUGAGGAGAGUGGACGUAGGUAAGAAAACGCCGAACCACUAUAAAACCGAGUUUGAAUUCUCUAACUUUAUCUCUUUCCUUUAUUUAUUUUGUGCAUAUAUUAUUAUGUGGAAAAAGAUUUUGAAAAACCCAAUUCACCCCCCCUUUUGGGUAUUUUCUUUAAUUAUUCAUAGCCUUUGUUUUAUCAGUUAUUUUUUAAUAUUAUUCAUAGGUAGGUAUAUUUGAGAUAUUUUGCUCUUGUUAUUAAUAAAAAAUUGUUCUAAGUUUUUGUGUUGAGAAGUGUUGGAACAUAUGCAUAUGAAUUGCAUUUUAUUCUUGUUGGGGAGUGUUGUUGCAUUCAUAUUUGUAUGUGAUUUCUAAUUUGUGUUUUUAAGUGUUUGUAAAGACAAGGAACAAUUGUAAAAAUUGUUAAGGUUAGUUACUUGUAUUGAGAGGCUUUUAAAUUGGACAAAAACACCUAUUCCACCUCCCCUUUAGGUGUAUUCUAUAAUUGACAUUUACUUGUUAUAGUAAAAUUAUUACAUUUUAAUUAUUAUUUGAGUAAAAAAAGAAAUAGCUUCUAAAUUCCUUACAAGACUUUUAAAAAUAUUUUUAAAAUUGCCUACAAGUUCGAAUACUCUAAAUAAUUAUAGAAUUAACAAAAACAUUGAUGGAUAGAAAUUUUAUGAAUUCAAAUUUAAUGAGAAAAAUUAUUACUUUUCAAGUUAAAAAUAAAUGAAUAUAAAUUAAUAAUAAAAUAAAAGAUUAUCAUAUGAUACUAAAAAAUUGUUUUUAGGUGUCAUUCAUAUUAUAACAUAUUACAAAUCAACAAAAUAAUCUUAUUUCUUUGUAUAUUGUUACACAUAUCAGCCAAUAAAGAAUAAAAUAAUCUAAUUUCUUUUCUCUCUUGUUAUACAUAUCAAUCACUCGUAUUUGAAUUUUGUUAUGCUACUCAUGCAUUUUGAACCUUAGAAUUUUCUUUAAAUAAAACAAAAACAAAAAAUAUGAACAAAAGAGAUAUUUUCAUUUAAUCUUGUAACAUUGCCCCAUUGAUGACAUGUAACAAUCAACUGGCGCAUAACAGUCAUUUACUUAUGGCGGCUUACUGCCUGGCCAAGUUUUGGUCAAGUGGGACCACUUUGACCAGCUUUAUUUGGAUUGCCUACCUAAUUAUCUUAAUGUUUGGGUACCCACAUAACCUAUAAUUGAAAUUUCAUGAAAUUAUUUAUUAGAAGAACACAUUAACAUAUCCCAUUAAAGCUUCAUGAAAUAUAUUUCCAACGUAAUUACUUGAAUCACAUUUAUAGAUCACAGAAAACAUUUGUCACACGAGAAGUUCUUUAGAAUGGUGAUUAAUUUUUACUUCUAAAAUAGUCUAAGAACUAGAGAUGGAGGUAUCAUUGGACUGUUAUGACUGGCAAGCUUUGAUGUCCUACUUCGACUUUUCACAUUGAUGUGCCCUAUUCGAGUCUCUCUCUUGGUGCUACACCUGCCAUGGUAUUGUGUCCAUGGCUCACCAAGUCAUCUCCUUGCGCAAGGUAUUGAGCCCUUGUGCCACCUUGCUAUAGUCCUAGAUCACUCAUGAGGCCUUAGUGUCGGAUGGUCCUUGUCAAGGGCUAACAUAGUCAAAUCCUUCUGAAGUUACAAGAAAUGCCUGUGGCAUAUAUGUGAAUAGAACAUAUCAAAUAUCAUAUCAAUAUAAUUUUUUUCUAUACAAUUAUAUUUAGAGUCUGGUUAACCUAAAAGUUUUUUUUUAAAAAAAAUUAGUGUUAAACAAAAUUUAGGAAACACUUCUAAAAAUUUGAAAAAUUACUUAGUAAUGUUUUCUAAAGAAACACUUGAUAGGUAAUUUUCAUUAAAAAAAACACUUUCAGAGAAAAUACUUCACUAAAAAUACUUUAAGUAAAAAUACUGUUAAACACACUCUUACAGUCUUAUUAUGUUUUAUUAAAACAAUAUGGUAGUGCCCAUAUGAAGAAGAUGAAGCUAAUUAAAAAUAGAUGCUCAAAAUGAAUUUUAAACAUUUUACAAUUCAUCGAAAUUUCAGAAAUACAUGGACUUACAGAAAGGCUCUUCAUGAGAAGAUAUUCCACAUUCUCUACGGAAAGUUUGGUGCCCUCUGCAAUGAUAUUCAAUGGAAUGGUACCAUCUUCUGAAGGACGGCUGCAAGAUAAAAUAUCUCAGUUGAAUUUAGCAAUAACUUUCUGAAUCUUGCCCAGCAAUCACACGUAAAAUGAUAUUGUUAACAUACAUGAAGAUGAUAUCCAUCAAGCUGAGAAUGAUUUCUAGUAGAUUCUUCUAAUUCUGAACCAAUGUCGGUUGAGAACUCAGUAGCAUUAUGGACACGACAUAAUUCUUGAUAGCAGAGUAAAUCAUCAUAGUUGGAUGCCUGGAGUAUCUAGUAGAGCCGCUCAACCUUUUUCCCCUAGAGACUUUCUAUCUGUAGGAGUUGGUAAAACAUUUGGCUCCAAUGAAGACAUUGUGCAGUUCUCUUUUGGUAAAUCAUCAGGCGCAAUAGCUCGCUGGGCCUAGGGAUGAUUGCUGCAGAAUUCUUAACGGAUUAGAAUUGGAGCAUCCAGUCAACACCAAAGGAUUAAAUAUGAUAAAGCUCAAAAUUACACCAUUACUCAAAGCCUGUAAAAUACACUUGACCCAACAGCUGCAGGAAAUACUGAGAGGGUUGUUUCUGGAAUAAGGUUGAGCUGAAGGUGUUUUAUGACUCUAUUGGACCAUCAUCUCCAAGGAGGCCAAAUAUGUGGAGGUUCCGUUCCAUUGAUCCCAUAGCCAAGUAUUUUGCACCUAUCUAGACCAAAUUUUACUCAAGUUGCUUUGCCUGCAUGCAGGACUAGAAGAAGUCAUAUUGAAGAUUGUAAUGGAAGAAUGAUAAGACAGCAAGAUAAAUGUGACACAAGUUUGCAAGAAAAUGAGACAAAACCUGUGCCAGACAAAAUAGUGAAAGUUUUGAUUCAGUUCCACUCCGAUUUUACAUUGGCAACUUGGUAAAAACUCUGCAAAACCAGAAGCCUUAAUACCAAUUUCCAGUUAAGCAUAAGAAGUUCUAAGGUUUCAUUAAAAACCCACCUAUUGUAAUCUUUCAAAAUACAUGAAAGGAAAUGAACUUGCAUAUAACAGGAUAGUUUAACAACUUCAAAAACUAGGUUUUAGAGAACUGCCAUCUGAAAAUAUUUUAAAGAUAGGCAUAUGUAAAUUAAUCAUAACGGCUAGUAUCAGAAAAAAGAAAAACCAAUUUAACAAAAAAAAAAAAGGCUAGCUAAAUAAAUUUAUAUUGCUUGCCAUUGCAAAGGUCUAUCAUGGAGGAAAUUACAAGCUGCCACAUGAACCACAAAAGAAAAGUACCUUGCAAAUUUUAGAAUUUACUUGAGACACAAUUUGACACUGAAUAUUCAUUUUCUAGAGAAGUUCCCACCAAUUUUGAGGCUAUCUUCCACACAACUUCUGAAUUUCUUUUGGUCAGAAACCAAUUGUUUGGGCUAUAGGACUGACAUGUUUUCAGUAGAAUGUGAAGAAUAUGCACAACUAUAUUACAUGAAGGUGGAUUGAACUUACUUUCCACCAACAUAAGGAAUGCCCUUCCUUGAAUUGGCAGGAAUCUCACCUUGAAACCCAGGCAUAAUUUGUCAUUUCCUGCACAAUUUUGGGAUCAUCAGUGUAGCUCUUGUAGCAUCAACCCCACGUUGGAUCUCUGCAUACAUAUUAUAUAUAGAGGGGUCCAAGAUUAGAAUAGUUUGAGAGCCAUAUGUCAUUUCAUUAAUACCAAAAUUUUAUUCAAAUGAUUUUCAAUAGUACACCACAAUACAGGAUGCCAAGGCAUAUGUACAACAAGUAGCUCUAACUUCAAGGGCAAUUGUAGGAUGACAUAAUCAGCCAAGUAAUGAUCAAACAUCCUCUGCAAUAAAAUACUUAACCUAAGUUAGAGUAUUUUGAGAAUAGGAAGAGUGAUACACCAAAUUCCCUUUCAAUGAAAUAGAAUAUGAAGAUCAAGAAAAGUAAUUACCAUUACUGUCAGUAUAUUUCAGAGUAUUUAGAUUCCCAUGCUCAAGAAAAUUUAGAACAGUGGGGAAACCAAAUUUUCUUAUGAUUUAGUACUACGUGUGCUCCUCACCAAAGUGUUAGUAUUCUACCGUAUAUGAGAACAAACUAAAAAAGCUCAGAAUUGUGGAGAAAAAAAUUAUAUAAAGGGCAGCAAUAAAUUAAUAAUCCAAAAACUAAAAGCACAGAGAGAGAGAGAGAGAGGAAUUAUAGACCUCAAUAAUGAAGAGAUUAUAGACAACAGACAAAAAUGAAAGAAAACAUAUAGGUUUAGGAGAACGAUGAAAUUAAAAAAAAAAAAAUUAAUUAAAGUGAGCUCUCUUUCCAUAUGCAUCAACCAUUAAUAAGCCAUACACAUUUAUCUCUCGAAUAUUGAACCAAUGAGUAAGUUCUCAACAUUAUCUAAACUUUGGACAGAAAACACGGCAACUUAUGAUUUAUUGGAAAAUGAUUAGUCAUUAAUGAUAACAAGCAUGAAAUAAAUUUCAAAACUAACCUAAUUAUUCAACAAACAUGCACAGUGAACUUAAAUAACAUUAUUAAUCUUUCCAAAAGUAAUUGGUUGGCUUAAUUAUAAGUACAUUCAUCCAAAAAUAUUAAAUUAACUCACAAUUCAAAACCAUGGAGAAGGUUUGCCUAACAUGGAAUCUAUUUAAGAUUUCAUAUCUUCAGUAAACUACUUUUGCAUCAGAAAAACAAAAAUAGAGGGCAACAAUUUUGGAAGACCAACAGUAUAAUGAUAAAAAAAUGGUCAAAAAAAAUGGAGGGAUUGCACUCCUGAAAAAUAUUAUAGAUGACAUGCUUGAAUGAAAGAGCAUAGUAGUCCUCUUGACAUCUUUCAAUAAGUAUAACAUUCUGAUUUUCAUGUAUACAUUAUCAAGUAUGGAUAUAAUGUCACUUACUCUGGCAAUGGUACUCCCUUUCAAAGUACUUUUUCAAACUAUUGAGUCUGGCUACUUCAGAUAUGAGAAGAAUAGUGCUACCUUCAAUGGUCAAUGCAAACCAUUUAGGUUCCCAAGCUUGAGAAGCUUCAAAGAUGGGAAUUAACCAAACUCAUGUUUUACUGAUUCAGCAGUAUAUGCUGCUCACUCAACUCUCAGCUAUAGACUACACAUGGGAAUAAAAAAAUCAACAUUGCAAGCAAAGUAGAACACUUUUUUAACAAACUGAUUGAGAAGUAAUAAACAAUAAAGGGAUCAAAAGCAUAAACCUGAAUAGAAAGAAUGAUUGUGACCAGUAACAAAAACUGAGGGCUAAGGUUGGUGAUGCAAUUGAGAUAACCCUUUUCAUAUUCAUCAGCCAUCCAUAACUGGCCAACAUUUGUCUCUGGAACAUUGAAGGGCUCAAACAGCAUAACUGUGUUGUCACGGUGGCUCAAGCACUCACAAAUAGCAUGGAAAACAAUUCUCUUUUGCUUGUGUACCCAACUGUACAAUUAAAAAUGAAAGAAAAGGCAGAAGUAGAGGAAAUAUUAAUUUAUCAGUGUCUAUCUCCAGCCUAUUAAUGAUGAAUAUUACCAGAAUAAUGCAAUAUUUGUAACUGACGGGUUCUAAAACAAUAAACAUGAACCGAAAAAAGUAGGAAGAGAGAUUGGCAGUGAAAACCUGGAAUUGUGGAAGACUCACUCGAACUAAAAGAGACCAGUGAGUCCUUCAUGCACCAGCCAUCUAUUACUUGUCAAUAUAAAUUUGUCAUUUUCCUUUUGGCAUCUUCUCCUUAUGUAUUAAGAGAUUUUGAGGCUGUGUAGAGUGCCAAUGGAUCGUUACCUUCCAGUGGUGUCAAGCCACCAAUCCAUAUGGUUAUGAGGCUUCCCUUUGAAUUGUGUGCCACUGUCAUCAUCCUCAUUCUCAAACAGAUGUUCUUCUUAGCGGCUGUGACAUGCGGAAUAUGUUGAGACAAAGACAUUGUUCUCUGCACAGACAGUUUACAGUCUUGGAGAGAAGGGAGGUGUCACAGUCCCACCUCUAGCAGAGAUAUUUGGAGACUUACAUGAAGGCAAGGCCAAUGUGAACUCCAAUCAGCUUUAGUUCCUCACUAUUUUGAAGAUGCAAAAUUUUCAAAAACUUAGUGAUCUAUGUAUUUAUUUGAACAUAUAGACAGUAACUUAUAAAAAUUGAAGCUGUUAAAAGCAGGACAGAACAUUGGAUUGCAAACCUGAAAUAUGUUGUAGAUGACAAGCUUCAAUUGAAGAACAGAAAUCCUAUUAAAUCAGGUACCAUUGCUAGUCAAUAUCAAUUUCAGGAAAGUUGAAGUGUUGAGUGAUGCAUUCCUUCUGGCAGUGAUUCCCAUUCUGGGCCAACAGCAUUUUCAAGCUCAUUAAGAGAUGUCAAGCUGUCUUCUAGUCUAGUAAAGUUACAAAACAAGAGAAAUGGAUGAUUUUAAGGAUUUCCAUGAUGUUCACAUUUCCAAGCUCCAAUAACGGAGGCAUCAACUUAGUAUUCGACAAAAAAGUCUCUCUGUAACAUUUAUUCCACCUCUCAAAGGUGAUUAAAUAUUGCAUCCACUGAUAGAGAUGUCCAAGCCCCACCAUUAUCCCUUUUUACAUUGAAUUUACACCAAUUACAUCUGCAAGAAAAUAGUUAACCUGAGAAACUUCCAAACACAAAUAGCAAGAUCAUUUUAGCAAAACAGAACUAGCAAUUGAUAUCUUUAAAGAUACAUUUUUCAAACUUUAUUAACUACAAGCAUGCUUUCAGGCCACAAAGGUUCAACUAAAUUAUAAUAUCAAUGGAACAUUUUUUUUUCUCUAUGCUAACCCUAUCAAUGGUUGACAUAAUAAUCAAGUGUUUUUGUCUAUGUUGUGCUUUGGUUCAAGUGAUAUUUAGAAAAUAGUAUUAAAACAUAGAAAUAUCCUACUAUUUUGUCUAUGCUAAUACAUACACACAGCAUAGAGAAGACAAGGAAUGUAGAAAAUCAAUGAUGAUGCAGUCAUCAAUAGUGGGAGAAGGAUUACCUAAAUUGAAAAGGAAGCAAAAUUCCUUUCUGCAUGAAUCAUCUAAGAGUAUAAAUUUUUGGGCCAUGUGAAAUCUUAGGUAAAUUCAAGACUGAUCUUCUUUGGGCUUUAGGCCAAUGAAUAAUCUUGAGUUUCGAGUUUGCAAGAAAGUAACUAAAUCAACCCUAGCAUUUUCCAAAAAUCUUAGGAUGUAAAAAUUAAAGUAACAUGAUUACAUUGGUUCUUAAUUACCAAUUAAGAACUUGUCUAAUUGUACAUUGAUUGGAAGAUGCAACAUUUUCAUACUUAGUGAGAUCUAAGCAUUUUCCCAAAUAGACUGGGGAAAAAAAUGAUAAAAAUUGAAGCCAUUAAAAACAGGAAGAAACAUUGGAUUGCAAACCUGAAAUAUAUUGUAGAUGACAUGCUUGAAUUAUAGAACAGAAAUCCUUUAUGAAUCAGCCAUCCAUGUCAAUUUCGACAACAUUGAAGUGCUGAGGGGACACAUCCCCCUCUGGCAGUGAUUUCAAUUUAAGGCUGACAUCAUUCUGAAGCUCAUUAAGAGAGGUCGGGAUGGUUAUUCAGUCUGAUAAAGCUGCUAAACAAGAACAGCUGAUGUGAGGCUACCAAUACAGUCUAGUAAUGUUGUCAAACUAGAACGGUCCCAAAUUGUGAGUCUUUGUAGAGUGCUGAGGGAAUCCAUCUCGUCUAGUGAUGAUAUCAAUUGAGGGCAAGAAUGAAUUCGGAGCUCUGCAAGUAAUGUGAGUCUGCUUAUCCAGCCUGGGAAUGUUGUCAAUUUAGAACAGAGAAGAGAGUCUGUCCCUCAGCAAGUGAGCAAAGCCUUUCCUAUUGCACUAGCUCUCAAUAGCCUGUCAAGAUAUAUCAGAAGGCAUAGGCAAUAUUCAACUUAUCUUCACCAUCACCUUUUUUUGCAUUAUCUUGAAAACUAUUAACACCUGUAACAAAAUAUUUAGUAUAAGAAAGCUUCCAAAUGUAUAGAAAGCAAACAUGAGAUAAGAAAAUCAUUUCAACAAACAUAUUUCGUUUCAUGUCUCAAACUAUUAAGAUUGAGUACUUUCAGGAAUGAGAAAAAUGAUGUUACAAAUUGCCUUUCAGUGAAAGUAAAGAUGAUCUCAAUACCAUUAUUGCUUUACUCCAUAGCAUUUUAAUUCAAAAGGUCAAGAAACCUAAAAUAAAGGGUGACCAGAUUGUCGUAUGAUUCAAUAAGAUGCACUUCUCGUGAAAAUUGUUGGUGUUCUACUAUAUAUGAAAAUUAGAAAAAUCAAAACUCCAAACAGAAUGUGCAAGUCUUUAACAAAUUGAAUGGGAAGUAAUAAAUUAACAAUCAACAGUUUUAACAUGUAAAAAGCAGAUGGAAGGCCAACAACAUAGAUUUUCCCCCUCUUUAUACAUGCUAGUACAUAUGAGAAUUAGGAAAACAAAAUUUUAAACAAAGUAUUUAAACUCUUAGAAGAUUGAUUGUAAGAUUAUAAUAAAUGAAGUCUUCAAAAACAGGAGAAAUGUUUUAUUACAAACCUAAAACAUACUGUAGAUGACAUGCUUGAAUUGAAGAGAGCAAGAUCAAUUCAAGAAUCAACCAUCAUUUCUAGUCAACAUCAUUUGUGGGAACUUGAGAAAUUUCAAGAGGUUAGUCUUUGAGUUUUCCUUUCGGCAUGUUUCUAAGCUUAGAUAGUAGGCUCACGGCGCAUCUCUUCUGGAAGUGCUUUCAUAUCAGGGUAGUCAACAACUGAAGGCCAAACCGUAGAGAUAGCUUGUGAGGCUUCAAGGGUAGUGAUUAGGAAUCACUUGAGACAGACACAUUAGGACACAACAGCUUUGAAUUUUCAAUAGCUCCAGAAAAGUGAGGUGUGGAAUCAUUGCAAAAGAGAAUCCUUGCUUUCCAGUUACUGAAGGGAAAUGAGGUGUUUCAGCCACAACACUAUCUCCUUUUGCUUACAACACUAUCAGGUUUUACUUUGAUGUGGCAACAAUUACAUCUUCAAUAAAAUAGUUCACCUGACAGUUACACGAUCCAUUUAACAAACAAGAUUACAAAGGUGCACAGAAAUCUUAAUAGAUAGAUAGAAAAAUAAAAGAUGAAGUAGCCAUCAAUAACAGGAAGAGGGGUACCCGAAAUAUAUGGUUGCUAUCAUCCUCAUUCUCUAACAGAUGAAGUUCUUCUCAACAGCUGUGACAUGCUGAAUACGCUAAGACAAAUACAUUAUUCUCUACACAGACAGUUUACAGUCCUCGAGAGAAGGGAGGUGUCACAGUCCCACCUCUGGCAGAGAUAUUUUGAGACUUCCAUGAAGAGGAGGCCAAUGUGAACUUCAAUCAGAUUUAGUUCCUCACUGAACUUCUUAUUCAGCUGCAUAUGAGUAUCCAUAGGUCAGAACUAAAGACAUAGUACAGAGUUUUUAAUAAAUUGAUUGAAAAAUGAUAAAUGAUAAAUGACUAAAGGAUCAAAAGCUGAAAAAAGAGAGAAAUUGCAAACCCGGAUGAUGAAUAAAUAUUAUGGAUGGGACACAAACUAAAGAGAUCAUAGAUUGGAGAGUAUGGUGGAAGUGACUUAAGUCUGUCCAAAUUGUGUCAAAUUUAAUGGCUUUUCUAAUUGUACAUUGAUUUAAAGAUGCAAACCUUUCAAACUUAGUGACUUUUUCAAACUCAUCAUUUUAUCAAACAGUUUGGCAGUAAAUAAUAAAAAUCGAAGCUAUUAAAAGCAAGAAGAAACAUUGGAUUGCAAAACUGAAAUAUAUCAAAGAUGAUAUUGUUGAAUCAAAGAACAUAAAUAUUUUAUGAAUCAAUCAUCCAUUACCUUUGAAGCUCAAAUUCUAUAUUGGCCAUCUGGUAGAUAUGAAUUUUUGGGCCAUGAGAAAUCCUUAGACCAAACCAAACUUUUGGCAGUGAUUUUAUGUUGGGGAAUUGAAGAAUUAUCACAAACCUCUUAAAUAAGGUGAAUCUUCUAUAAGAUAUUAACAAAAUUAAGGUCAACAUUGAAUUAUAAUUUUAUACCAUCAUUAGCAAUUGAAUUGAAGAGCAAAACUUCAAAACUUCCUCAUUUAAGCAUUUUAUCAAAUGGAUAUGGUGUACGUUUCAUACCUCAAAUGGAUUUCUGCAUCAAACCCGUCAUCCACUUUUAUUCGGACAUGAGCAAUCUUGGGCCAGUCUUCACCUUUUUCCCUUCGGCAUCUUUUAGAUAAGUGUGGACAGUCGGAGAUUUCGAGUAGGUAGAGGGUUGUGAGGGAACGCAUAUCUUCCGGGAGUGAUAUCAAUUUAGGGCAUUUACGAAUUUGAAGGUAUUCAAGUGAUGAGAGGCUACCUAUCCAAGCUGGUAAUGUUGUCAAACUAGACCAGUCGUGAAUUGUGAGACUCUUGAGGAUUCUAAGAGAAUGCAAUUCUUCUGGCAAUGAAGUCAAUUCAGGACAAGAACCAAUUUCAAGAUCAGUCAGCGAGGUGAGGCCGCCUAUCCAGUUUGGUAAUGAUGUCAAACCACAAGAGUAGUCAAUUGAGAGUGUGUGUAGGGCAGUGAGGGAAUNNNNNNNNNNNNNNNNNNNNNNNNNNNNNNNNNNNNNNNNNNNNNNNNNNNNNNNNNNNNNNNNNNNNNNNNNNNNNNNNNNNNNNNNNNNNNNNNNNNNAUAUAUCCUUGUGCCAUCCAUAAUUGUACCAACACUUUUUUCUCAAUCUCAUAGUCUUUUGGAAAUAACGCACAAUAACCAAAACAUUGCUUCAAAUGGAAUGGUAGAGCAUCAUAGCUUAACUUGAGCACUGAUAAAACACUAUUAUUAUUUUCACCUUCCAAUAACAACAAAUUUUUGUUGUUUUUAAUGGACAACCACAUACUUUCUUCAGUUUUAAUGCGCAAUAUUGCUCCUAGUGUUUUGAGGAUAAGAGGAACUCCUUUACACAUAUUUACAAUUUCUUUUCCAAUUUCUACAAGGCUUGGAUACAGUCUUUCUUGUCCUUCUUCAAAUGCUAUUUUUAAAAAUAAAUUCCAAGACUGGUUUUCUUUCAAACCUUUCAAAGAAAAAGGAAAAUGAUCAAUACCCAUAGUUGAUGCAACGUUUCUAUUUCGGGUGGUUACUAGAAUCCUACUCCCUUUAUCACCAACCAUUAACAAGGUCCUCAAUUCCUCCCAUUUUAGGGAGUCAUCAUUCCAAACAUCAUCAAGUACUAGCAAGUAUCUCUUCUGCCUUAGUUUUUCAUGCAGGGAAUCUUUCAAAACGUUUAAUGACCCCAAAUCUACAUCUCCACCACUAAAGGAUUCCAAAAAUUUUUUAACCAGCAACUUUACAUCAAAAUCAUCAGAAACACAAAUCCAUAUCUUAAGCUCAAAAAAGUCAACUACUCUCAUAUCAUUAUAUACCAGCUGAGCAAGGGUGGUCUUACCCAACCCUCCAAUUCCAAUGAUGGCAACAGCAGAAAGAUUUUUUUCAUUCCCGGAUGACACCAACAAUUUUAUUAUCUCCUCUUUCUCUUCAUCUCUUCCUAGCAUUUCAGAGGUCAACACAAAUGAGUGAGUCUCUCUCCGACUACUCUCUACCUCCCUGUGAACUACUUUCCCUUGAAUAAGUUUUAGCAUAGGGAUUUCUUUCACAAUUUCAUCAACCUCUUCUUUGAUAUCCUUGAGUCUAUCAGUCAUCUUAAAACGAAAUACAACUUGAUUGGAAGACGAGAAGAAGUCACUGACCUGCCUUGCUACUCCACGCUGCAGCUGAAGCGUCUCAAAGUCAUCCAACAAGUCAUCAGCAUCAUACACAACAUCUUUGAGCCUCCUCACCCAAGCUUUUACCGCAUCGCUCUCCUCCUGCCUCUUCUCAGCAUCAACCAGUACACCUUUGAUGGUGUGCAGCUUCUUCGUAAGCUUCGUCAACUCUUUUGUCACAUCAAACGCAGAUCCAAUUUGUUGAAAAGCCGAGGAGCCCAACUUGGUUAAAACGUUAGCUAUAGUAUUGAAUGGUAUUUGUUCAGCCAUUUUGGAAGAGCUGAAACAGCAGAAGACCAAGAAAGUAUGGUAAGAGAAGGAGAAGUUGAGAGAAUUGUAAGAGAGAAUACCACCAGACAAGUAGUGAUGAUAUACACAGAGCUAGUGAGAGGAUAAUAGAAGUCAGAUGCAGUGGGCCUAAUAUGAUAUACUUUGAUUAGUCAAAAAGCAAUGUGGACUUAUCAUAUGCUCAUCAAAUAAUUUCUAGAAAGAGAUUUCAAUGUAUUUAUGAUUUUUAGCCAUGCAUUUUUACAUCACAUUAUGGCAUUAUUUUAUAUUGAUUAGUUGCACUCCUUCUAUUAAUGAAUUAAGAUAAGAUUUAUAUAUGUAAUUGGUCAAUUGUUAAAGCUCAAAUAAAUUGAUGAUUUUAUAUAAAUAAAAUAAAAUAAAUAUUGAUGAUUGAAUUUUAUGAAUGGAAAUUAAUCAAAAACUUAUGAAAUAUUAAAAAUAUUUUAAAAAAAUAAACAAUGAAGUAAUAAUAAAGAGUACAUGAUAAACCACAUAAAAUUAUAUCCAAUGAAAUCAAAUAUUAAACUAAUAUUUAAAUUGAAUUAAUUAAUUAUAGAGUUAUCUCAAUAAGUAAAUAAUUAAAUAAUUAAAUUUAUAACAAUGAAGCAUAAACAAUGAAUCUAAAUUUAAUAUUAAAAAUUUUGAAUUAAUACUCAAAUUGAACCAUAGGCAUAAUUUAUAACAAUAUUAAUUUACUGACAUACUCAAAUUAAUACUCAAAAUUAUAAAAUUUUGAGAGAAAUAAGAAAAUUUUUGAUGCAAUUGAUACGAGUUGUGCCUCAAAAGUAUAAAAUUUUGAGAGAAAAUGAGAAAAAAAAAAUUGAUGCAAUAAUUAAUACGAGUUCAGGAAGGCUUUCAAGUGGAAUGGAGAGGAAAUGGAAUAGAGAUGAAAGCAUUUAUACUGGGAAUCAAAAUAGCCGUUGGGAAAUGUGUUUGAUUGUUGGAUCACAAUCAGAUCGAAAUCUGACCGUUGGAUCAUGAAGUAGCCUUUGAAAACCGUUCCUGACCAUUGGAUGAUAUCAGGGAUCAUUACGGCCGCUGGACUGGAGAGACAUUGGGACUUGGCAGGGGGCCAACGUCUGCUUUGUGGGUAACAAAACAUCGGGGAAAGCCUGUGCAUGUCAGCGUUCACAUGCCAAACUUUCCUUCCAUCACGUUAAUUUUUAUUUUUUAAUGCUUUCAAAUCACAAUAAUACGGAAAAAAUUAUGUUUUUAACCAACCACCCUACCAAGAAAUAGUAAUUAACAAAAAUAUUAUCUUUAUUCUAUUACUCUUUCGUAUAUCACUAUUCUUUCUUAUUUAAUCAUUUUUUAUUAUUUAUUCAAAUUCUUUUAUAAAUAAUUAAAAAAUCAAUAUUAAUUUUUAUUUUUAAAUUAUAAAUAAAAAUAUAUAUUAAUUAUUCAAAGACUAUUUUAAAAAAUACUUUCUAAAAAAUAUUAAUUUAAAUAAAUAAAAUUUAUUUUUUACAUUUAUUUUUAUCUUUUACUUUUAGAAGUAAAUAAUUUAAUGAUUAAAACACUGUUUAAAUUAAAUAUAUUCACUAUUUUAAUUUAUUUUAUAUUAAAAAUUAUUUAAAGUUUUUUUUACUAUUAUAAAAUAAAAAGUUAACCUUUUUCAAUCUUCUUCCUUCUUUAUUUUAAUAACUUUUUUAACAUGACUUUUAGUAAUAAGUUAUAUGAAAUAUUAAAAAUUUAUUUAUUAAUGAUUUGAAUUAAUUGAAAAAUUAUUAAAAUAAGAAAAAGAAAGAUUAUAGAUGAAGAGUUUUUAUUUUAAGUACUCAAUUAAAAUGUUUUCAUAUGACCUAAUUUUAGAAGUGGAUUAUAUCAAUACACAGUAGAGAUUGAAUUUUUCUUAUAUAAAAGGGUUGAAAUAUAUAUUUACUUAUUUUAAAUGAAAACAAGUAGUUAUAAAUUAUAUAGAUUAUAUGUGAGUUUGGUUUUAAAAUAUUUUUCUAGUUUUUAUUUUAUUUUUAUUUUUUUUAAAUAAUUUUUAUUUUCUAUAUUGUCUCUUUUUGAAAAUACAUUUAAUUAAAAAAUGAAAACUAUUUUUGAAAAUGAAAAUGGAAAACCCUAUUUUUUUAUAUGAAAAUAAAAAAAAUCAUUUAUUCAUUUAUUGUGUGUCACUGUACAAUUAUAUUACAUUAACUGUACAAGGGAAAUGUACUAAAUGUACAAAGGUGUACAAAGCUACUCUUUGUGAAAUAUUACAAUCGAUUAUGAGUUAUUAUUUUAUUUUUCUUAUCACUCACGAAUUGUACACAUAUGUCAUAUACUUUAUUUAAUUCUCGUAUGGAAAUUCUAAUACUUUCCCCAAUAAUGAUAUAUGGGAAAAAAAUUUUUGACCUUAAGUCAUCCACCAUCUUCUCAACUAAAUCAUUGGAAAUAUGGUUAAACACUUCUAUGUGAACACAUAACUUAGAAGAGAUAUGAAAUUUGUGUUAUUGUACAAGAGUAUUACACUAAUUGUACAAGGAAAAUGUACUAAUUGUACAAAGGUGUACAAGAUUAUCUUUUGUGAAUGAUUUCAAUCGAUUUUAAACCAUUUUUUUAUUUUCCUUAUCACCCAAUGAUUGUACACCUAUGUCAUGCACUUUAUUUAACUUUCACAUGAAAAUUCCAAUAUUUUCCCCAAUAAUGAUAUUUGGGGGAAAAAAAAAAUGAUCCUAAGUCAUUCACCAUUUUCCCAACCAAACAAUUGAAAAUAUGAUUAAUACAUCUACAUGGAUAUAUAACUUAGGAGAGAUAUGAAAUUUGUGUCAUUGUACAAUGAAAUUACACUAAUUAUACAAGGAAAAUGUGUCAAGUGUACAAGGGUAUAUGAGGCUUGUAAUAGGUUUUGUACUAUUUUCAACAACUUGAGUUUGAUAUUAAGAUGAUUAUUGAUAGUUUUUUUUUUUAACCAAACUAUGUCAUUAAGACAUUCCCUACAAAAAUUAACAUAUAGGAAAUAAAAUUAAAAUAAAUCAUAUUUGAAUUGUUCAUUAUAAGUAAACUAAAUGAAAUAUAUAUUUUUUACUAUUUUGCCUUUAUAAACAUAAUUUCAUUGUUAUUAAUAGAGAUUAAAAAAAUUAUAUUUAAAUGGAAUUAAAAAUAAACAAAAAAUUAUUUUUAUAACAUUUUUAUUUUUUAAAAUCAUUAAUUUAAAUUACGAAAUUAGUUUUAAAAUUUAAAAUAUUUGUUGUAAUUAUAGUUUUGAAGAUUUCAUGAUUUUUAUCUUAUUACUUUGAAAAAAUUGCUUUAAUAAGAAAAUAUUUAUUUUAAUGGUUUUAAAUAUUUAAAUCUUUAUUAAAAAAAUAUUUAGGAUUAGUGUGGGGAACAAUUAGAUAAUUUUAGAAUGGAGAAAUUUUGAAUAUUUUGAAGACUUUAAUUUGACCAAUUACCCUAUUUACACUUUUAAAAUUAUUGGAAGGUUGGUAAAUUAAUCUUAUAAAUAUUGUCUUUUUGAUUAAUAUAUAUAUAUAUAUAUAUAUAUAUAUAUAUAUAUAUAUAUAUAUGCAUGCAUGUGAGUGUUUACAUUAUUUUUGAAAUAAUAUGAGAAAUAAUAAACACCAUGUGUCUAAUUCGCAAGUUAGAAAAAAAAAUUAAUAAUAUUUUAUGAGGUAUUUAAAAAGUAUUUAUUAUAUGUUCUAUAAAUUUGAAAAAAAAAAUAAUAUUUGAUGAUAUAUAAUUUACAAAUUAGAACAAACAAAUAAUGCUAAUAUUUUAUGAGGUGUUUAAAAAUUAUUUAAUAUAUAUGAGAAAUAGUAUAAGUUUGAAAUAAAGAAUAAUAUUUAUUAUAUAUUAUGUAAGUUUUCAACAUAUUUAAAAAAUAUUUAUUAUAUAUUAUGUAAGUUGGAAAAAAGAAUAAUAUUUGAUGAGGUAUUUAAAAGUUAUUCAUUUUAAAAAUGCAUUUGGCAAUAAUAAUUUUUAACCAUAUUUCAUAUUUAAUUUGAUGAAGAAAAAUGAUUCAACUUGGUUCCACUAUUAAAUAGGUGAGAAAAAAGAUAAAAGAGUCAAAGAAAGAAUGAGAAAAAUGAGGUGAUUGGUUAGUUUUUUACAUUUAAUAGUUAAAAGUAUUUUAAGGAUUUUUUAAAGACAAUAUCAUUCCUCUCAAUUUCUACUUUCUCAUGGAGUUUUUGAUUUAAUUAUGAGUGAUAGGAGAACCUUACCUUAAUUACUCAAUAUGGGUUGAACACACAAUUGUAAAUAUAAUGCUAUGAUUUUGUGAAAAUAUGUCUUUUCUAAUGAUCAUUUAUCUACAUAAUUUAACUAACUUUUAGUUUAUAAGUUCUUAUAAUAAUAAAUUUUGAAUAUUAUGAGGAUGGAAAAUUAAGUGAAUAAAUACAAGAAUACAUCCGAAAAAGAACAUUAGCUUUGCAAACACAAUAACAUAAAUAGUUGAAUUCAAAUGGAGUGAUCCAAAUAUUUUAAAAAAGAACAAAUAAGUCACUGGUGUUUGGACUUUGGAUUCUCCCCACCUUCUUUUUCAAUAUAUAUAUUUGGGUUUAAUUAUGGAUUCGGGUUUUUUUUUUUUUUUUCAUUUGAAGCAAAAAUAGUAAAAUUCUUACAUUUUAAUUAUUAUUUAUGAGUAAAAAAUAGCUUCCAAAUUUAGACCUUUAAAAAUAUUUUUUAAAUUGAGUAGUACUCUAAAUAGUUAUAGAAUUAACAUAAACAUUAUUGAUGAAUAGAAAUUUUAUGAGAAAAAUUAUUGUUUUUCAAGUUAAAAAUAAAUGAAUAUUAACUAGUAAUAGGAGAGGAUAUUAGAAGUGGUAGGUGGUGGCGGCAUUAAAAGUGGGUAUGGUAGACUCGAAGGAGAAUAAGAGCAAUCAGUGCGCUUUGAACUUUCAACAAAAGUGGUCAAAAGACAAUUACGUUGGGUGGAAAAUUGAGAUAGGAUGCCAUGUUGUGGGUCCUAAUCAUCUUUGGAUUCUUCAAUAUAAUCAAACUGACAAAGCAAAGUGAUACAGGGCAGGCUGAUGUGAAAGUAAUGUGAACGCAGAGAGGGUAACGUUUAGAUUUUAUUGAAAAAGUAAUGUGAACCCAUAUUGUAUUUGAUAGAAAAAUACGGAAAGAAAGAAAAUAUUGCACUGAAAUAUUCAUUGAAAGCAAUGUGAACUAUAAUGAAGUGAAUGAAUAAUAUAUUUUAUGUACAUUCAAAUAGGAAAAGAAUUGACUUAUUGAUUUAAUUAUAUCUAGAUUUAAUCUUUCUUUUAUUAUUAUUAUUAUUUUUAAAUUGAAUAUGACACUUAAAACUCUUAAUCAAGCAUAUUAAUCAAAUGAUAAAUUCUAAGUGAAAUUUGACAUAUUUUAUUUAUUACUUGAAUGAUUAAAUAAAAAAUAUUAUUUGAUCAAAAUAUUUUCCAAAACUUGUUCAAAUACCUUAAAUAAUAAUAAAACUAACAUGUUUAUAACUACAUUAAAUCAAGAAUAUUAUGUUUAAUUCCAUAAACAAAGCUCCUUAAUUUCUACAAUUUGUUGGACAUAAUAUCAACAUACGACUACUUUCAUGAAUAAAUAAUAAAAUGAAGUAAAAAAAAAAUCAAAUUAUAAUCCAGAAUAGGAUUAGAGAAGGUUUUUUUUCCUUAUAGUUCAUUAUUAUUAUUAUUAUUAUAAGAUUAUGUUUGGUUUUUGAAAAUUUUGAAAGAAAAUAUAAAGGAAAGAAAAUAAAAUAAAAAAUAGAAGGAAUGAAAAAGUAAAAGAAAAAAAGAAAGAUUAAAAAUUAGUAAAUUAUUUUUAAGUGCUCUUUUAAACUAAUUUCACUUAUUUUUUUCUAUAAUAUAAAUAUUAAAUAAUUUUAAAUUAAUUUUAAUUAUAUUUAAUUUUCUUUCAUAUUUUUCAUAAUGAAAUCAAAUAAAAAAAAACUAUUUUCCUUAAUAUUUUUUCCCUUAUUACUUUCCGAUAAUGAAAUAUAGUCUAAAUGUUAAAUAUAUUCAUUUAUACACAUUCAAUCUCGGAAUUUUAUGAGUGACACAAAUUUAAUUUGUAGCCUUAUUAGUUAUAAUUAUGAUUUUGUUGAUUCUUACUCUCAUCACCUUUUUAAAAGAAGAUUGAAAUGAAUUGCCAUUCAUUUUUCUUUUUAUCAUUUCAAUCAGAAAAAGCAAAUGAAAUGGUUUCUAUUAAUUAUAUUGUAAUUUAAAGAUACAAUAUUGUGUUGUAUUUAUUUAAUAUUUUAUUUGAAAAUUUGGACAAUAGUUUGAUUAGAUCAACCAGAGAAUUCAAGCUAUCAUUUAAAUUUUUAAAACCUAUUUGAAAAUUGAAAAUUUGAAAGAAAAAAAAUAAGAAAGGAAAAUUAAAUAUUUUUUGUUUGUAAUUUUAUGAAUAUUAAAUUUUAACCCUCUAAAAAAAGAUUUCCAUAUAUUAUCAUUAUAAACAUUUUUAUAUUCAUGAGGCACAUCCUCUUCAAAUUUACGAUUUUCUAGUCAUGCAUUUUUGCAUUACAUUACGACAUUCCUUUAUAUUAAUUAGUUACAUUUUUUCUAUUAAGGAUGAAUUAAGAUAAGAUAAUUAUAGUUUACUUUAUCUCUAUAAUUUCUCUUGGGAGGUUAUUUGAAUAAUAGGAGAGAAUAUUAGAAGAAGUGGUAGGUGGUAGGCGGUAGGUUGUGGUGACAUUAAAAGUGGGUAGACUAGAAAGAGCAAUAAGUGGGGUUUGAACUUUCAACAAAAGUUGUUGAAAGACAAUUAUUUUGGGUGGAAAGUUCACAUAAAUAAGAUGUCUCGUGGGGUCCUAAUCAUCUUUGCAUUCUUGAAAUAAUCAAACUGACGAAGCAAAGUGAUAUUUGCCAUGUACUAUCAAGAUUUUGACAAAAGUACCAUUUAUUUGAAAAAAUAUUUAUUAGAAUAUGACAAUUUUAAAACUUUUAAUUGAACUUGUUCAUUUUAAAAGACAAUUUCAAAAUUAAAAGACCACUUUUAAUUGGAUUUCUCUUACCAAGAUGGUUUGAAAAUAUUUUUUCAAUUGUUAUAUUAAUUUUUAAAAUUAUUAUAUAUUUUUUUAAUUCCAUGUAUUAAUACCCACUUCAAAAAUAAACAAAUGUAAAAUUUGGUAUAAAAUACUAUCAUCUUUGAUGAUAAAUGAGGUUAAUUUUGAAGAGAAAAGUCUUAUUUUAGAUUUUGAGUACGAUAGGGGAAAAGAUAAUUCGAAUUUUCCGUGACCAAACCAAAUCAAUUUGAUUUUUUUUUAUAAAUUAAUUUUAAAAUUUUCAGUUGAAUUUAUUAUUGGAAAAGUUAAAUAAAAAGAUAUUAAAUUUUAGUCAAAACUCGAUAUCAAUUCUAAUGCUUGGAAUAAUUAGAAAACUAACAAAGACAUUUUUAAAAUAUAAACCAGAUAUAACAAGUUUAGUAUUAUUUGUAAGUACUAUUAAUUUUUCAAAUAUUAUUUGAGUAUGAUAAAAUUAAAUAUAUGAAAUUUAAUUUUAUAAAUAUAUUAAUUUUCUAUAUUUUUAUUUGAUGGAUGUUAACACUUAUGCUAGAAAUCAAUAUUCUUUUUUAUCCAUACGCCUUAGUCCUAUCCAAAUACAUAAUAAAUAAAAGAAAAAUAAAAAAUAUGAUGUUGGUCUAAGCAAAUAAAAUUAUUAUACACCAUUUCAUUAUUCUUAUUUUAUGUCAAAUAAAUUUUUUCAAAUUAUAUUUUUUAUUCAUCAAAUAAUUUUGUCAUACUAAUUAACUUAACACUAAAAGUAUAUUAUCAUAAUAAUUUAUUUAAUUUUUUUAUUUGUUUCUCUCUUUUUGAAGCAUCAAUCUUAAAAUUUCUUGGUUUAUUUGAGACUUGAUUAAAUAUGAUAAAUAAAUAUAUGGUUAGUGGCACAUGUUUGUGUUGAGAUAUUAUGAAUACUUUCCUUAUAUCAUUCUUUUCUUAUAUUAUUUAAUGUUGAGA
rnacentral:lncRNA from 1 species